AGCGAGAAGCUCAUGGGGUUGGCCUGCAAGUUGCUGGAGGUGUUGUCUGAGGCCAUGGAUUUGGACAAGGACGCUUUGACCAAUGCUUGUGUGGACAUGGACCAGAAGGUUGUGGUCAAUUUCUACCCCCAAUGCCCACAGCCAGACCUCACCCUCGGACUCAAGCGGCAUACCGAUCCGGGAACCAUCACGCUGCUCCUUCAGGAUCAGGUGGGAGGGCUCCAGGCCACUAGGGAUGGCGGAAAGACUUGGAUCACCGUUCAACCUGUUGAAGGAGCUUUCGUCGUCAACCUUGGCGACCACGGUCAUGUAAGCAUCAUAACCGGCGAAAGGCUGAAGCUAAUCUUUUCUUUGUCUUUGUCUUUUAAUUUAAUUUUAUAGAUAAGGUAGAAAUUCUCUUGUUCAUUGGUUUUCUUUAUGUGGUCAACAUCCACAAUAGUCCUUCCUGAUAUGGUAUUCAAAUUCAUGCUACCCGAACCCGAAAGAGAGAGUGAUUAUUGGUUUGGUAUGGUGCAGUAUCUGAGCAAUGGGAGGUUCAAGAAUGCUGAUCACCAAGCGGUGGUGAACUCCAAUCAUAGCAGACUGUCCAUAGCAACAUUCCAAAACCCCGCACCGGAGGCAACCGUGUAUCCUCUGAAGAUAAGAGAGGGAGAGAAGGCAGUGCUUGAGGGACCCAUCACCUUUGCAGAGAUGUACAGGAGGAAGAUGAGCAAAGAUCUGGAGCUUGCUAGGCUCAAGAAGUUGGCCAAGGAGCAGCAGUUGCAAGACGUGGAGAAGGCCAAGUUAGAGUCCAAGCCCAUUGACCAGAUUUUGGCCUAAUCUUUUUGUCCACUCCUCCUGCUUACUUGCGCUUGUUUAUUUACCAAUUGUACCUCUUUCUACACCCACUGUACUUUUCUCUCUGUUUCUUUCUUUUUCUUUUUCUUUUUUUCAAUAAUUAAUAUAAGCAUUAGCAUUGUCUUUUUGUUCAUCUUGGACCAUCUUUAAUAAAUUAAUUAUUAUAUACCUGUAUUUACUAAGGUAUGUAAAAAAAAUACAAAAAGUUUAAAGUAUGAUUGUUCGUAUAAUUAAAAAAAAAAAAUCUACUUUUAAAAAGAGAAAUAGAAAUAAUUUUUAAAAAGCAAAUAGAAGUUGUUUUCAUCAAUUUUUAAAUACAAAAGGAAAACACAUGUCUAUUUUUAAAAAAUAAAAGGAAAAUAUGAGCUCGUAGAACCAUAUUUUUUAAAAUUAUUUUUAAGUUAAAGAAUAAAAUAUUUAAAAACAUGACGAAAAAGGGCCUUUAGUGUCCAUCUCACAACCAGGUUACCCCAACCCAAAUGUUAAUAUAUAUAUAUAAAUACAUGAUUAACAAACAUAAUAUAAAAAAAUUAAAAAAUAAUAAAUAUUCAAUUUUUUAUUUAUUUUAUAAAUUAAAUAUAAACAUAACAUAAUAUAUCCUAUGAGAUAUGUUGUAUUAGGAUAUCAUGUCCAUUAAAUUUAAUAUUUAAAAAUAUCAUAUCUCAGUAAAACAUUUUUUAUCCAAUAGGCUAUAAUAUCAUAAAAUAUAUUUAUCUUAUCAUAGCAAUGGAAAGUAGCCUUUAAGGAAAUAUAAAUACCCAACAUUAUAUAUCUAUGCGGCCAACUCUUGGUUUUGGGGUUAGAUAAAUUAAAAAUAUUUAUGGAUUGAAACUUUGAUUGAAAUAGUGGUUGAAUGAAAGAUAUAAUUAAAAAUUAUUAAAAAUUAUCUUUAUAUUUUUAAAAAUAUUAUUUUUUAUUUAAUAUAUUUAUAAGAAAUUACUAUCUUAUUUUAUUAUUAAAUUAAGAAUAUUAAUAUAUAAAUAAAAAGCAUUAGAUAAAUAACUUAAAUAAUAUAAAAUUAUAAGAAUAAGAAACCAAAAACUAAAACUUAAAAAAAAAAACAUGAUUCAAGUCACUAACCAUCCAGGCAAACUCACCCUUGUUAUAUAAUAUGCAUUAAACAUAUAUAUAUAGUUAAACUGAUUAUAUAAAGAAAAUAUUAAAAGAAUAAUUUAAAGAGUAAAUUAAUUAUAAUUAUUUUAUGAUUAAAUGCAAAAUUUCCUUUUAAUUGAUUACCAAAAAUAUAAAAAUUACAUAAUUUUCUUCAUAAUGUUUUUAAUAUCAUUAAUAAUUAAUUAAAUAUUAAAAAACUAUAUAUAUCAUAAUUUAUUUUAUAUUGUUUAAUACAAUUGAAUUAAAUGGAUCAUAAUUUUAAUAUUAAUAUAUAUUUUAAAGUUAGACAUAUUACAAUCAAAUAUCAUAAUAUUAGAUGUAAUUUAAUAAUAAAUGUACACUUAUAAAAUUCAUAUUUUUAUCGAUGCAUACGAUAUUAUUAUCAAAUAUGAUAAAUCAUAUUAUACAUAUAUCAAAUUAUUUAAUAAAACAACUUAAAAAUAUCAAUAUACUUCUAAUUACAUUUUUAUGAAGUUUUUCUUAUAUUUUCAUAAAUUUUAAUCAAUUUUAGGUUUAUCGAUAUUUUUUUCCAAAAUAUCUGUCGAUAUAUCUCCUAUAUAUCCAUAAAAUCGAAGUACCGAUAUAGCCGUGAUUACCGAUAUUUUCAUCUUGAAUAUAAUACAUUUAUUUAUAAUACAAAAAUUUUCAAAUAGUUUUCAUAUUUUCAAUUAUUAUUUAUAAUAAUUAAAAAAAGCGCCUAAAAAUCUCAAAUUGUUUUAAAAAAUAAGUUGUUUUCAAAAAUAAUUUUUUUUUAAAUGAAAUUACUACAACAUUUUUUUUAGAGUUAGAAACUAACGAAAUAUUUAUACAUACCCUAACAAUUUCAAAUAAGUAAUAAAACAAGAUAAGCAAAUAUAUUAAAGACUUCAUUUUUGGAUGAAGCUUUUAAGAACUUUCUUAAAAACUAUUUUAAAAAUCCCUACCAAACAAGUACAGCCCUGUUUGGGUAUGUUUUUUUAAACUUGUUUUUAAAAACUUUUUUUUAACUUAAAAAUAGUAUUUAAAAACAAGUUUAAAAAAUAUGAUCAAAUAGAUCCAUGUUUUCUUUUUUUAAAAAAAAAAAAUUGUUGGAAAUAAGUUUAACUUGUUUUCUAAAAAUUGUUCUUUAUUUCACUUUUUAUUUUUAAAAAUUGUUUCUAAAAAAACAAUAGUUAUACAGUAUUAGAAAUUUUUAAAAACAAUUUUUGAUUUUUGAAACAAUUUCGAAAAAAAAACUUGGUGAUCCAACAAGUAUUAUUAUAUUAUGUUAAUAAUAUCUUAAUUAUCAAUCAUUUGAUGACAUGUUCAACAAGAAUUAAAAACUAAUUUUAAUAUUGAACCAUAUAGCAUUUAGAAUUGCAUGUCACACUCAGUAGUUAAUGUAAAAAAUGUAGUGUUCAUCCCAAUUAAAGUUCAUAAUAAUAAAAAAUAAAAAUAAAAAUCGAGUUUGUUUUACAAUGCAUUUAGAAAAUAUGUCUAAUAUGGAAAACAUUUUUUUAAAAAGAAAAAAUAAAAAAUUAUUUAAAAGUUUGUUUGAAAAUGAUUUUAGAAAACAUUUUCACUUGGACAAAAAAUAUGAUGUUUGAUAAAAUUUAUAAAAUACUUUUACAAAUUUGAAAAAUUAAUUAUAAUACUUUAUAGAGAAAGAUUUGAUGGGUAAUUAUCCGAAAAACUACUUGUUUCAAAUAAAAACAUUCCUAAAUGUAUUUUAAUAAUAAUUCUUAAUAAAAACACUUUAUAAAUGAUUCUAUUGUGAAUAUUUCUAAAACCAAAAUAUUUUAAAUAAAAACACUUGUAAACCUUAUAUUAAUCCAUCCUUUAUCAAUGUAGAACCACAAGUUGAGAUAACUUCUAGAAAAGAUGAUUUAUAAUCUGAUAAUAAAUGGUGACGAAUAAUUUUUUUGAUUAAUUCCAUUCACCUUUUUUUUAAGUUUUAAUUAAAUAUGCAUAAUUUUUAUUUAUUUGAAAUUUUAUCAUAUACUUUUUUUUAUUAUUUUAAUUCACUUUCUAGUCUAGUAAAAAGAAAGAUAUUUAGUAAAACUUCACAUCAAUGUAUUAAUGUACGAUGUUAAUGAAAACAACCUACUUUUUAAUCACUAGUCAUUUUCCGUGUGUCCCACGCAGCAGGAAGUUAAUGUUUUUGUUAUAGGUAUACGUAUAUCAAUCAAAUUCUAAUUGGACCUUUGGUGCCGGUUCACCACACUUUGCGGUACCUACCCCCGCACCCACAUGUCCGCUUCAUCCCCACACGUCCACGGUCCAUGGUCCAUGGUACCUACCCAUCAGCGCCAUCACUCAUCCCUUAAUACCAUUUCUAAAGCCCUUUCUUCUUCUUCUUUUGUUUUUUGUUUUUACCCUUUUCUGUUCUUUUUUAUUAGACUGUUGGGACCCCCUUUCGCACUCCUCGUAUUCCUUUCCAUUUUCAUCUUUCACAUAGAAUUCGGUUUCAUCGUUUUUUUUUUCUUUUUUUUUAUUUAGAAUAUGUUUGAUAUAAUUCUAAAAAGCGUUUUUAACUUAAAAAUUAUUUUUUAAAAAAAUAGUUAUUUGAUAGAAUUUAAUAAACUCUUUUACAAAUCUAAAAACAUAUUAAAAAAUCAUUUAUAAUAUUUUCUAAAAAGAAUACAUGAUUAUUCCAAAAAUAAAAAUACUUUUAUUAAAAACAUUUUAAAUAAAAAUAGGUGUUUUAUUCAUAGAAAAUAGGCUUGUAGGACCUUUAAAAUUUUAAAUGAGAUGUUUUUUUUUUAUAAAAAAAAUUGAUCUAUGGUUAAAUAGAAGAAAAAUAUUUUAAAAGUUGUAAUUAGUUUUUAUAAAAUAUUUUAUUAAGAUUUUCUUACUUUUUCCUUUGUUUACAAGUUGUAAUUAUGGUUCUCACUGUACUAUUUCUCAUUUUUAUAAAAUAGACUUGGUAGUGUUUUUACUUGAAAUAUUUUUAGCCAAAGUAUUUUCUCUAAAAAUGCUUUAAGGAGAAUCGCUAUAAAAUAUUUUUCUAAAAAAUACUAUAAGUGAUUUUUCAAAAUUUUAAAAAUGUUUUCUAAAAUUGGUCAAACAUUUAGGGCCUGUUUGUUUAGUGUUUUCAAGAACUGUUUUCUGUUCUUGAAAACAAAAAACACCAAAAACUCGUUUGGUUGAGAGAGUCGUUUUUGUUUUUGUUGUUUCCCGUGUUCUCAAAAUGACACUGUUUAGAGAACAACAAAAUGUUGUUUUCCCCGUUUUUUUUUUGUUUACAGAACAAAAUUAAACCAAAAAAAACCAUUUGUUCUCCGUGUUUUUUUUUUUCUUCCCGUUUUCAUCUCUUCUCUAGCACAGUCGCAUGGCCUCUUCUUGAUUUUUCCCGUUUCUCAGUUUUGAUUCAAGGUUCGUGAAAUUUAAAUCCAAUGGCACAACAGCAAAGAGAUCCCUAGAACAAAUCCAGAAAACACAGGGAGCCAAAAAGAAGCAAUUUUUUUGGUUUUCCUUGGGGCUUUUGUAUGGAUUUUCUCGGAAAUCAAACAAGGAUGAAUUUUCCCGGAAAUCGAAUGAGGGAUGGAUUUUCUUGGGAAUCAAACGGGGGUUGCAAGGUUUUUGCUUGGAUUUUCUCGGAAAUCAAACGAGGAUGAAUUUUCCUAGAAAUCGAAUGAGGGAUGGAUUUUCUUGGGAAUCAAACGGGGGUUGCAAAAAUAAUAAUAAUAAUAAUAACAUGAUUAGAUUAGUACCUGCGAGGAUUGAGAGUGGCAGAGGAAAAUAGGGCCUUUUAGGGAUUCUCUCGGCUGGAGGGCAACUUCAGAAAAGGGCUUCCUUCAGAAAAGGGCUUCUUGAGGCCCGAUGAGAGAAUGGUGGCAUUUUGAAUUUUAUAUUUAGUAAAGAUAAAAAAAAAAAAACAAAUCAUGAGAACAAUUUUAUCUCAAUUUAAUAGAAAAUGCUAUAAUUUUUAAUAAAGUUAAAGAUUAAAUAAAAAAAUAUUAAUAAAAAUGAUUUUAUUAUAUUUGAUUUAUUUUAAAAAUAUAUAAAAAAUAUUUUUAUUUUUAAAUUAAUAAAAUAAAUAAUUUUUUUAAUUUAAAUGAACUAUAUAUCUAAAAAUUAUUUAUAAAUUUAUAAUAUAAAAUUACUUGAAGAAAAUAUUUUAUUAAUUAGAAAAGAAAAAAAAAAUCUUUCAAACGUGUUUUUUAUUUUAUUUGUUCUAAUUUUUUUUUUUUAUUAACUCAACCAAACAUGUUUUUUUGUUUUUGAGAACAAAAACUGUUUUUCAAAAUUCAGUUCCCAAACAUAAUUUUUUUUUUAAAAACACCAAAAACUAUUCUUAAAAACUGUUCUCAAAAACUGUUUUCCAGAACAGUUUUCAAAAACAGCAACCAAACAGGCCCUUAGGUUUUUUUUUUUCAAAAACACUUUUUAAGUUAAAACCGCAUUCUAAAAUCUCUAUCAAACGAACUUUUAAUCUUCAUUUAUCAUCUAUAAGUAUAGAAAUUAUGAAAAAAAGUAUAAAAAAAAAUAGAAAACUAAGAAAAAAGAGUUUAUGUUCUUAAAAAUACAAUUAAUAAAUUGUUUUUGGAAUAAUAUAAAUCAUAUUUCUUUAAACAAUUAGACACAACAGGAUAAUUAAUGAUAUAUAUUAUUUCAUUUUUUUAUAUUUUUGGUUACUACACGUAUGUCUAGAAAACCUUUCCCCAUUCAUUAUUAGUGAUGUUGUUAGAAUGAAGCUAUGUUGUUGUCAAGUAUUAUAUUACUUAUGAGGCUUAUCUGUUAACAAGCUGGCCUGCCCACUUUAAGGUGGGCUUGGUCCAACAUAAACAAUACUCUAAUGGCCUUAAAGCUUGGAGAUAUUUGGUUGGGCGGUAUGACAUGGGAUAAAGUAUAAAAAGGAAUAUUAUAUUGUAGACCCCCAUGUGGGGCUUGUUUUGCUGCAGGAUAUUUGGCCACGUGUCACUUUCGGGUUGGCUAUUAGUGGAAUCAGAUUAGUGGAUUUGGAGGACGAAUAGGAGAGCUACACCUGUAAAGAUGAGGAAGAUUCUAGAAGAAGGAGCAUGCUUUCUGUUAUGGAGGGAUGGCCAGCUGCAUGCAGGGGAGAGAAGGGUGUUUUUUCUGGCCGUUGGAAGAUAUUUUUGAGGGAAAAAGAAAAGCUUGGGUUGCAGAGUAGUGGUGCAGGGGGGUGGCUGUUGCUGCAGAGAUUGUUGGAGGGGCAAAUCCGGGAGAGAAAAGAGAUAUGGGCAGAGAGGUUGCUUGAGGGAGGCGUCAAGAAAAUCUGAAUAGGGAGAGAGCUUUUGUUUGGGUGAUUUUGGGAGGAGUCGUCAUUUUUGAUGAGAGGAAAAAGUUUUGAGGGUAAGGAAGGAGCCAUAGUCUGGAGCGGAGAUCUUUGAGAAGGUAAGUGAACAGAAGAAGGAUAUCUUCAGCUGUUUAGAGAGAGUUCAUGAAAGCUGUUUGAAGAAAGACACAGAGGAAUAGCCUUGGAAGAGGGUGAUACAGGUAUUAUUCAUAUAAUCUGAGGUUUCUUUUGUGUUCAUGGCAUUUUAUUAUGUUUACUGGUUAUCAUGAGUUUCUAUCUUGACAUAUCUAUGCAAGCAGGUGAAAAUCCUACCUAUUUUCUUUCAAUACUUGUGUUCGCUCACCCUCAUCCUGCAUUUGGUUUCUAACUUGUCCUCUGGACUCUGUUUUAUGAGUUGUUGGCAUCUCGUUUUAAUUUCGAUCUCUUUGCAAACCAUUUGAAACCCAAUUUUUUUAUCCACCUCUGCGUCAUAAGCUCGUUAAUUGAAAUAUGAAACGCAGCUUUCAUGAGUCCUUUUUGUUCCUGCUCUGUGCUCUUUUUUGCAACCCUCCUCUGUUCCUAGUAUUUGAUCAUGAGGAGAUUGCUCCUUAUGUGUGAAGAAGAGGGUAUUGGCUUAAUAUGUCUGGAUUCUCAAGCUGUCCAUGGUGGUAGAGGACGUAUUCUGGGGAUCAGAUCCAUGAUUUUGUUACGUUUGUGUUGUUGGAGGAGUGACAAUUUCCCAAGGGCCAGGAUAUCGUUUUUUUUUACCCUAAGGCUUCGAUUUCACCACUCCUCAAUCAAUGCACAGAAGAAGGGCAAAUAGUUAGCAAACCCCAACUCCAAUCACUUGUUCGGAUCAUGAAAGAGUUCAGACGCUUCCAUCAUGCCCAAGAGAUAUCUCCAUGUAUGACUGACUUCCGGUAUUACACAUUAACUCCGAGUGAGGCAGCAAUCAGAUUGGACUUGAUCCUCAUGGUUCAUGGACAAGGGUAGGCAGAGACUUCCAGUGCGUAUGGUGCUCUUCUCAGUGGCUGUGUGCAAGAGAAAUCUGUGUAGAAAGCAGAAGCCACUAUGCAGAAAAUGAGAAAGAUGAAUUUUGCAACAUCAUCUUUUCCUUACAAUAUGUUGAUCCACGUUUACUCUCAAACUGGAAAUCAUGGCAAGACUGAGGCAUUGAUUCAAGAAAUACAAAGGAAAGCAAUUCCAUGUGAUGCAUUCACAGUAAGGAAUCAUGUGUUUGCUUAUGUUGUGGCAUCUGAUAUUUCUGCAAUGGAAGGGUUCUUGAAUCGGAUGGGGGAGAAUCCCCAUAUUUCUGUUGAUUAGAAUAUAUAUUCAGCUACAGCAAGUGGGUAUCUGAAAGUUGGGUUGACUGACAAGGCCUUAGAAAUGUUAAAGAAUAUAAAGAGCAACACGUCGCCCUAAGUUCCCUCAAAAGUCUCCAUUGAAAUCCAAAAUUCUUACCUGCUCAUGGGUCCCGUGUGUACGUGAUUAUCAUGCAUGCAUCCAAGGCUAUCCUUCACACUCCCAUUACCAUAUCAUGCCUACAGUUCAUCAUCACGUUCCCACCCGUGUUAUCCUUACCCGCGCAUAUACCCAUUUCUCAUACCCACUGCCAUGCUAUCCCAUCCUCCAUACCACCCUCCUCAUGCAUUCCCAUUAUUCCUAUUACUCUUCACACCCAUCCCCAUUACCCAUUCCAUUAACUCCAUGCACAUACCCAUAAUCCUGCACAUAGCCUAUACCCAUUUCUCAUACCCAUAACUUCUCCUUCAUUAUCUUUCCGUUCACCUCACCAAAGGAAUAUUGCUUCUUUAUCUCUCAUGUCUUUCUCUCUCUCUUUCUCAUGCGCCUUCAUCCCUCAAGUGGCUCAUCCAAAAUUCAACGUUUUAGAAGAAUUCGAUUUGGAUACCAUUCCCCUUGUCCUUGGGUCUCUUCCGAAGCUUGAUGCGUGCCAAUCCAGUUUUGAUGAAACUGAAUGUUGAUUCAGUAUUCACUCAGUAAUAGGAGUGGCCACCGCGACCUGGAAUCUGAUAGCGUCAUACUCCCAUACGCACUCCGCGGCUCAAUAUAUGCAGUCCUAGGAAAACUGAUUUUGGAGCAGUGGACCAUCCAAGAGUGAAGAUCUUAUCAUAGGUCCAUCCCAGAAUCUCCGUGUGUGGGUCAAAUCUGAAGAUUGCUCUUCUCUGUGCUCUAUAUGGUGAGAAGUGCCAAGCUUCCUUUGAUCCUAUCAGCAACAGAAUUCAGAUCUUCAGGGGUUUCCUCAGGUUUGAAUGGACCAUGUGCACCAGAAAUGCUUGGGAUACAGAUGAAUUCUCUUCAUGUGAAAGUCUCUAUGUUGUUGCUGAUCGUGGCCAGCAUGUCCCUCGAGAGUUACGAACAUCACUUGUGCUUGCGUCUGAAUGCUGAAUCCUGUUAAAACGUAUUGAAUCCAGUAUGGAGUGGGUAAACCGUGGUAUUGCAUAAAUCAGACAACGGGUCAGGUUUAUUCCUUUAUGUCAGUAUUCAUAGUCACUCCCAAUGACUACUCAGUAGCUACAAGCGGAGGAGUGAGUAGGGUCCCACAAUGCUAUUUGCCAGACCAAAUGACUAUUCUAACACCUCAUCCCAUCACAUGGCCUGCUUUGACCUUAGAAUUUUUGUGGAAAUGAACCAACGUUCUAGGAAGUGUCUUGCGGAGAAGAUGUAACUGAGAUACCAGUGAAGACUGAUGGUUGUUGGCGUGUAAAACCUGAGAAUGAAUAUGGGAUUCUAGCAUAGUGAUGCCAGGCUGAUGACUGCAAGAAAGAGGUUUGGGAUACCAAGUGAGUUGAGGAUCAAGUCUACAUGGCCGAGAUGUUGAUGCAAGGGAAGGUUCCAGCAAUGUUAGCAGCAGAUCGAGUAAUUCAUGUGUUCAUGCUUGGGGAAGGGUAUUAGAGACAUAUAGGAAAUUACAAGGGAACAUCUUCAGAGGCAGAGGUAGAAUAAUGUGCAGUCAGUGUUCAAGGUGCCCCAAGUUUGCAUUUCUAGUCUGCAUGGCUUGCUUAGUCAUCCCUAUGCCACGUAUCACCUCCCAUUCCAUCAAUCUUUUGGCUUAAAAAAUAGGGAGAAUUGUGUUUUGGGCCCGACUGGGCCCAAAAAUGAACAAAUGGUCCAUCUAUGUAACAAAAUUAAGCCCAACACCCAGUCAAAGUCUCAAAAUUGAUAAGAAGGCUAUACAAUUUAUAAUAUGCCGAAAAUGCCCUUUGGCUGGCUAAUGGAAAAAAAAAAAACAAAAUCCACGUUGGAUAGGCGUUUUCACAUUCCCGAGUGUUUGCCUCGUUCCCGCCCAAAGAAUGCCCUAAUCCUCUCUUCAUCUGGAGUUUGCCGACCAUCCGAUUAAAAACAAAAUCGACGUUGGAUUUCCAUUUCGUUUUCCCCAAAAUUGAGAGGCGUUUUCACAUUCCUGAGUGUUCCCUCGUUUCCGCCCAAAGAAUGCCCUAAUCCUAUCUUCAUCUGGAGUUCCCCGGCCAUCCGAUUUUAGGUGUAGACGGUGGAGUUUUUCAUCUCUGUCAAUCCAUUGGUGUCGACGAUCACCACUGGAUUUGGGUUCCGUGGCGAAGUAGUUGAGAGUUGAGGUUAGUUGGUUCAACAAUUUCAGUUUAUGCUUCAUUUCGGCUAUCCCGACCAUUUCAUUUCAGCCCAAAUACAUUGCCCAAAUUUAUCUGGUGAUUUCAGUGUGCCAUUAAUCCUCACCGUGGGUGUCGUCCCGUGCUGAGCAUUGAGGAGGGAGCUUCUCUGACCAUCAGGUAAAGUAGUAUUUUUUUUAAGCUUAAAGCUUAAACCCCGUAACUGGCUCUAAGACAUGGCGUGGGUUAUGAUGUUUUUAAGACAUGGCUCACAGUUUGAAAUAGUGAGGAUCCGCAUGGGCUAAUUGCAUAUGCAUGUCGUGGUAUGAAAAAAGUUUUUGUUUAGAUAAUUAUGUUUGUGUUCGAUUUACAUGAUUGAUAGCCUUGACAUGGAAAAAUCACUUCUUUUUAUUAAACUGUGAUGUCACCAUGAUUCACUUGUUUCUCCAUGAAUAUGAGAACCCUCGAUUGCCAUUCAUGAUAAUUGUGAUGCUGAAGAUGACAUAAAAAUAUAUUUUGAUUUUCCAUGCAUUUUACUUGGUUCACUUAUGUUUGUUUGGUUUAGCAUUGCAUAUUGAAUUGAAAAGUUAGUUUUAUAGGUGCAAUUUUAUUCUAAUAUAUGAUAAGUAAAUGCAAAUAGAUUUUCUUGUUGCAAACAUAUUUUUUGUCCUUUCGUUCAAAUUAUAUCAUUGAGCAUUAUAUUUACUUCCUCGUGUGGCAGUCUAGUUGAGUUCGCUAGUUCGCCUGUUACCUAUUUUCGAAAAAAACUCAAGUUCUUUGAACCCUCUAGUAUGAGAUAUUGUGGGAUACCUAGUAUGUGUAGAUAGAUUAUCAUUUCGAACUUCAUGAAAUCUGUAGCUAACAUGAAUAUAAAUGCGAAAUAAAGAAACAGAUCAGUUCAAAGGCAGUUUAAUGAGUCUUAAUUCUAUUUUUGAAAUCCAAUAUUAAGGGAGUCAAUACAUAAGAAACCAAUAAGGGAUUUCUCGUUGAAAUCCAGAAUGGUUUCCAACAAUCAUUGUAGUGGCCAAAUACCUCUUUCCAUGUUUACUAUUCACAAUUGCUAAAUAUCAAAUGCAUGCAACUCAAUAUUAUUUUCAGCAUACAAUUGAAGCAAAUUGAAAUUAAGUUAAAUUUGAAGUUGUCUAUUGAGUAUGAGGCAAAACACGAAUGACAUUGGCAUGAUCUGUCCAUUUAUAAGUCUGAAAAGUAAUUGUGAUGUUCCUAUUGGGAUCUAGAGGGUCAUAGCAAUCUGCAAAAAACGGAGGAAAAGUUGACCAACCAGUGAAAAAUAGAAUAAGUGAAGUAACAUUUGGAAAAGUAUAUGCAUAAAUGAUGCGUGAUAAUCUGGACAUGGCGACUAGUAAUAGUGUGAACUUCAAAGCAAAAGGCCAAAUGAGAGAAAAUAUGAAGGCCAUUUUCUAUAAUAUGCAUAAUUGUUUGAUCUAUAAUAUGAUAUUUGUGCUAUGUUUGUAUAGGUUAAUGGACGCAACUAAUAUGAUAUAUUGUUACAUUUUCGUGGGUGGCAAACUUGUCCAAAAAAAUGAUGGGCAAUGGGAAUACUUGGGUGGAAGAAGCAAAGGUAUUCACAUAUAUAAAGGAAUGGCAUUUGAAGAUUUCACCAAAAAAAUCAUAGAGAAAUUUGACAUUUCCCUUGACGUGAUGAAGAUGCACUACACGUUGAAGUUCAAUCCCAGAGUCAUCCAAGAUUUAGAAGAUGAGGAUGAUUUGCAUAACGUGGUUUCCCAUAGUGAUGACUUUGCAAAUGUAUACCUAGUAGACUUACCCUAUAUGGAAGCCAUUGAAGCAAAUAUCCCGAAUUCACAGUUGGCAUUUCGGUAAUGGACUUUAACAUCAAUGUUUAUUUAAAAAAUUGUGAAUAUCAAUUUUACGCAUCACGUAGUCUAAUUAUGUUAAUAUAUGUCAAUGCAGAGAUCCACCUAUCACAUUCCCGUCCUCUAAUGCAUCAUGCGAUCCAAUUCCUAACACUAUGAUGCUAUCAAGAGGUUUUGCGUCGCGUUCUGCAGAUACUGAGUACAUCCCUUUGGAAUCGAUUCGUUUUCGUGAGGCAAUAUUAGGGUCGGGACAUACAUUUAAAAAUGCCGAGGAGUUUCGCAAUGCAAUUUACCAAAUGUCAUUAGGUGGAAGGUUUGAAUACAAGUACAAGAAAAAUUCCCCUACGCAUAUGUCUGUCAAGUGUUCGGUUGAUGGUUGUCCUUGGAAGAUAACAGCUCACGUUGUCGAGGGAAAUGUCAUCUUGCGAGUUCAUACUUACCAAGUGAAUCAUAAUCAUAUAGCUCAGGAUGAGUGUUCAUCUAAGGUGAAGGUUUCUUCAAAGAGAGGUGCGGUUGUUGUUGAAGAUGUGUUUAGAACCACUCCAGACUAUCUUCCUCGUCAAAUCUGUAAGGAUUUUGAACGUGAUCAUGGGGUUCAAUUGACAUAUAACCAAGCAUGGCACCUUAAAGAGAAGGCAAAAGAGCGCAUAUUUGGAGUACCACGCGACUCUUACACGUUUCUCCCUUGGUUAUGCCAUAGGCUAAGAGAAAUAAACCCGGGCACAAUUGCGGAGUACACUUCCCAAGAAGGUCACUUCAUGCAAUUGUUCAUUGCCCAUGCAUUUUCAAUUCAAGGGUUCAUCAUGGGGUGUCGACCUGUAUUGGCUAUUGAUUCGUGCCACCUAAGCGGUCCAUAUAAGGGAGCUCUUUUGUCUGCCAUUGCAUAUAAUGCAGAUGAUGGAAUGUUCCCUCUAGCCCUUGGUGUGGUAAGUUCAAAAAAUUAUGAGGACUAGUAUUGGUUUUUGGAUAAAUUAAAAGGGGUAUUAGAUGGUAAAGAAGUUGUUAUUAUAUCAGAUAGACAUUAGGGAAUCUUGCGUAGUGUUUCCGAGUUGUUUGGGACAGGAAAUCAUGCGUAUUGUUAUCGACAUGUGAAGGAAAACUUUUCUACCUUCUUCAAUAAGCAAACCAUUCGAGGAAAGAAAGGAAAAGAAGAUGCUUUGCUACUUUUGGACAGCAUUGCGUAUGCUAGGUUGGAAAUAGACUACAAUGAGGCAUUUGAAAAACUUGUGCGCUUCAAUGAGAACCUAGCAAAAUGGGUUGCGGAAAACAAUCCCGAACAUUGGGCAAUGUCAAAGUUUCUUAAAAAGCGCUGGGAUAAAAUGACAACUAACAUUGCAGAGGCGUUUAAUGCGUGGUUAAGAGAAGAGCAUCACCAAACAAUUUAUACUUUAUUGUUAAUGCACAUGGAUAAACUUGUAGCCAUGUUGGACAGCCAUAUGCGUGAUUCGAUGCCCAGCCGGGUCUUUUAAUCAAAAACAUUUAUAAAACCUAUGACCUUAUACUGGCGUAGCAAAGCUACUAUAGUAUAGCAGUUCUAGGGUCGAACUCAAGGAUGGGUUUUCACUCUAUCAGUGACAGACUCUAAAUUAGAAAUUGAUUCUGAUGAUUUCCUUUAGCACAAACUUGAAAUUUAAAAGAAAAUAAAAUUGUUUUGAAAGUGGUGAUUUAAACUAAACUUACAUAGAACUAAGUAAAAAGUGGAAGAAAGAAAGUCUCCCGGAGCUAAAGGUUGCUAGGUUCAAGUUCCAAAUGCAAAGUGGAAAAUUCCGGAUUUUUCUUCUCGCAUUGGGGAUUUAACCUAUAGUUAUUUCCCGAACCGGUAUAGGUUUGACAAUGAAGUUUUAAUCCAUAAAAAGUCACUAGAGAUGAUGGUCAAGGUCCAUUAAUGGCUUAAGACACUAUGGGCUAUCACCUUGAAUCACUUUCCAAUGGCUCGUACAUGAUAACUAAUGGACUGAUAUGGAUCUAGCAAUAAGCAUCCACAGAGACCUUAAGCUUACCAUGUAUUGGCCAGUCAAAGUGAUUCGAAGGGAUUUAAGGCAAAACCUUGGCUUUAAAAACCAUUUAUGGACUCCAACUACCUGAAUUUAAUGCACGGAAACUUUCCAUGUUUUAAUCUGGACUUUUCACCUAGCUUCCUUUACUCCAAGAAACUAAAUGUUUAGCCUCUCAUCCUCUGGGAAAACAUCCUCAGAGGGUGUUUGGCUUGCAAGAAAAUAGAAAAUAGAAGAGAGAAAAAGAAAGCAAAAGAGAUCUCUGUAUUUCACUAAGUAUCAAAUUUACAUCAGUUGGUCUCCUGGAGAAAGCUCCCCGAAAGAUUCAUUUUCAGUGAUUACAAGAGAAUUUAUAUAGGAAGGUAAUUUUACCCUUCCUUGGAUACUUCCUAGCUAAGGAAUUACAUGAGUGGUUGAAUACAAGGAGAAAAUGGAAAUUUAGACACAAAAAUAUCAGAAGAAAAAGAGUCGACAAAAAUAUCCAAUUUUCGCACGCUGGAGUUCCAAUUUCGCACUUUGAUUUGAGGUGUGCGAAAUUUUCGCACAGUGGACUGAGGAAUUCGCACCUUGAUUUCCAUCGUGCGAAAUUGUCCCUCAGCUUGAUGCAGUUGUCUUCCGAAGGCCAUAUCUUUCUCAUUUCAGCUCCAAAUCAUACAUGGUUUGAACCGUUGGAUUCUUGACUUUCUGAGCUUUGAAAUGGUAUAUAGAAUGUAAAAAAUGGACUUCGGGAAGUACUCAAAAAGUGCAAUGAAAGACUGCAGCUGUGUCCCCUGUUUUCCUCUUCUCCAUUGUUUCUUCCUUGUAUACUUUGAACGACUAAGGCAAAGGAUUAUGAGGCUCCAUAGCUUGAUUUCUUCAUAAAUUUAAGCUUUCAAAAGCUUUGCCAUAAACUAUAAAUAGCUCUCCCUCAUUCUUAAAUUGCUUUGGUGAGCAUAAAGCUAUCAAAAAGCACCAAAACUUAACACAAUUGUUAGAAACGAUUGCAAGGGUCCCUAACAUGUUAAUUGGGUUAAAAGGUAAUAAUUACUACUCAAGGGUGUUUAAAAGAGCUAAUUACAAGCUACAAAAUAGCAUGUUUUGAGUAGUAAUCACUCCCCCCAACCGACAUAUUGCUAGUCCCUUAGCAAUUAAGGAGAGAAAAACUAAGCAAACGUAAUAAUAUACAUAAAAGAGGUCAUGCAAUUCAUUCCAAAAAAAUAAUUGAGAGGCAUGACUGAUAUCCAAACACAUCUCACCUGGUGAACUAAAGAUAUGAAGAUUCAAAAUGCAAUAGGAGUUGUCAAAGCUUAAAACUUAAACAAAAAGUACAAAGAGUGGAGAUUAUGCAAUUAAGUAUCAAAAGAAUCUCUACUCUCAAGGUUCCAAAUCAAACUCUUCCAUAAUAAGCUAAGUGUUAAUGAGAUUAGCUUCCGGAUAUAGUAUAUACAACUAUCCUCACCCUCCAACCUAAGCUUUUCUCGAACAUUGGCAAAAUUAAUCAACUCUUAAUAGGUUAGGAACGCACCUUGGUUUUGGGGUGUGCGAAAAUGGCGCCCUUUGGACCGAGGAUUUCGCACCUUGGUUUUGGGGUGUGCGAAAUUUUUGCACCUUGGAAUCAGGUGAGCGAAAUUUUCGCACCUUGAAAUCAGGUGCUCUGUUUCCUUGGUUUUACUCCCCUUUCUUGCUUUUGAAGAGUUCUCCCCAUCUUUCAUGAUUUUUUUCUGAAAUUUAUCAUCAAAAUUGACUUGAAUUAAGACAAAAUAAACUAAGAUUGAGGAAAAAUUAUAAUAAAAAGAAAUAAAAAUAAUGAUAUAACUAUAAAAUUAUAACAAAAAAUUCAUGGACUUAUUUAGCCAUGAUACCCUGCUUUCCCUCAGAGUUGUGGUGGUUCAAGGAGGUUGAUCUCCUCCUUGUCUGUACUGUAAGGCUCUAUGAAUGGCUUGAGACGAUGACCAUUAACUUUGAAGGUUUGAUUGCCUGUGGGAUUGAAUACUUCCACCACUCCAUUGGGGUGUACUUCAUGAAUUAUGAAAGGACCCGUCCACCUGGAUUUCAAUUUUCCUGGAAAGAGAUGAAGUUUAGAGUCAUAAAGCAAAACUUUUUGUCCUUUGGUAAAAUUUUUCUGAUUUACCAACUGAUCAUGCCAUUUUUUCAAUCUUGCUUUUGCAAUUUUUGAAUUGAGGUAUGCAUCAUUCCUCAUUUCCUCCAAUUCAUUCAAAUCCAAACAUCUCUUUAACCCGGCUCUUGUCAAAUCCAUGUUGAGCUUUUUAAUUGCCCACCAUGCUUUAUACUCAAUCUCUACUGGAAGAUGACACGCUUUGCCAUAAACAAGGCGAUAGGGAGACAUUCCUAGAAUGGUCUUGUAAGCGGUCCUAUAAGCCCAUAAGGAAUCCAGGAGCUUGAUAGACCAAUCCUUCCUAUUCACAUUGACCACCUUCAUCAAUAUAUUCUUGAUCUCUCGGUUGGCUAACUCAACUUGGCCACUUGUUUGGGGGUGAUAAGGUGUAGCUACCUUGUGCUUAACCCCAUACUUGGUUAGAAGAGUCUCAAAAGGUUUAUUGCAAAAGUGGGUUCCCCCGUCACUUAUAAUGGCUUUUGGCACUCCAAAUCUUGCAAAGAUGUGGUCCUUGAGGAAUUUAAGUACCACUUUAUGAUCAUUGCUCCUACAUGGGAUUGCUUCUACCCACUUAGAGACAUAAUCCACUCCUACCAAGAUGUAGGAAUGUCCAAAUGACAUUGGAAAUGGUCCCAUGAAGUCUAUACCCCAGACAUCAAAGAUAUCCACUAUUAAGAUGGGGUUCAAAGGCAUCAUAUUUCGACGUGUUAGCUUACCAAGCCUUUGACACCGAUCACAUCCCUUGCACAUAGAAUGGGCAUCCUUGAAAAGAGAGGACCACCAGAAGCCUGAUUGGAUCACUUUCAUAACUGUUUUCUGGGAGGCAAAAUGACCUCCACAUGCACUAUCAUGGCAAUGGGAGAGAAUUCCCGAUUGCUCUUGCUCAGGAACACAUUUCCUUAUAAUUUGAUCUACACAAUAUUUGAAAAGAAAAGGUUCCUCCCAAUAAUAGGCAUGGAUCUUAGCCAAGAAAUGCCUCUUGUCUUGAGCACUCCACUCACUUGGUACUUCUCCAGUAACCAAAAAGUUUGCAAUGUGAGAAUACCAUGGAGCUACAUCUAUUGACAUGAGAGACUCCUCAGGGAAGUCAUCAUUGAUAGGCAGACCAUGUGAGUCAUGUGCUAUCACAAGUCUGGACAAGUGGUCAGCUACCACAUUUUCUACCCCCUUUUUAUCCCUGAUUUGGAGAUUGAAUUCUUGGAGCAAAAGAAUCCAUCUUAUCAAUCUUGCCUUGGCAUCCUGCUUGGUUAGCAAGUAUUUCAAAGCAGAAUGGUUAGUGAACACCACUAUAGAGGACCCUACCAAAUAAGCGCGAAACUUAUCCAAGGCAAAAACUACUGCCAACAACUCCUUCUCAGUAGUUGUGUAGUUCUUUUGAGCCUCAUUCAAAGUUUUGCUUGCAUAAUAGAUCACAUAGGGCUUUCCAUCCUCUCUUUGCCCCAAAACAGCCCCCAUAGCAAGAUCACUUGAAUCACACAUUACCUCAAAAGGUAAUUUCCAAUUUGGGGCUCUCACUAUUGGUGCAGUUGUGAGGAAUUGUUUCAAUUCCUCAAAACUUCUCUGACACUUCUCAUCCCACACAAACUUGGCAUCCUUUACCAAAAGCUCACACAGAGGUUUUGAGAUUUUUGAGAAAUCCUUAAUGAACCUCNNNNNNNNNNNNNNNNNNNNNNNNNNNNNNNNNNNNNNNNNNNNNNNNNNNNNNNNNNNNNNNNNNNNNNNNNNNNNNNNNNNNNNNNNNNNNNNNNNNNCAUUCAAAGUUUGCUUGCAUAAUAAAUCACAUAGGGCUUUCCAUCUUCUCUUUGCCCUAAAACAGCCCCCAUAGCAAGAUCACNUGAAUCACACAUUACCUCAAAAGGUAAUUUCCAAUUUGGGGCUCUGACUAUUGGUGCAGUUGUGAGGAAUUGUUUCAAUUCCUCAAAACUCCUCUGACACUUCUCAUCCCACACAAACUUGGCAUCCUUUACCAAGAGUUCACAAAGAGGUUUUGAGAUUUUUGAGAAAUCCUUAAUGAACCUCCUAUAGAACCCGGCAUGUACAAGGAAUUGCCUAAUUCCUUUAACAUUUGUGGGAGGUGGCAACUUAACAAUCAGCUCCACCUUUGCCUUAUCUACCUCAAUGCCAUUUUUGGAGAUGAUAUGUCCUAAGACAAUUCCUUUUUGUACCAUAAAAUGGCACUUUUCCCAAUUUAGCACUAGGUCUUUCUCAAUACAUCUAUGGAGAACAGCUUCUAAAUGCAUCAAACACUCCUCAUAAGAACUUCCAUAUACAGUGAUGUCAUCCAUGAAAACUUCCAUGAUGCGUUCCACCAUAUCACUGAAGAUGCUUAGCAUGCAUCUUUGGAAAGUUGCAGGAGCAUUACAUAGACCAAAGGGCAUUCUCCUAUAUGCAAAAGUACCAAAGGGACAAGUGAAGGUCGUCUUUUCUUGAUCUUCCAAAUCAAUUUCUAUUUGGAAGUACCCUGAAUAACCAUCUAGAAAACAAUAGAAAGGAUGUCCUGAGACUCUCUCAAGGACUUGGUCCAUGAAAGGCAAUGGAAAAUGGUCCUUUCUAGUCACUGAAUUCAACCUCUUAUAGUCUAUACACACCCUCCAUCCUGAGGUAGGACGUGUAGAGACUUCCUCCCCUUUCUCAUUCUGGAUCACAGUGAUUCCAGAUUUCUUUGGGACUACUUGGGUGGGACUCACCCACAAGCUGUCUGAAAUGGGAUAUAUGAUCCCAGCUUGAAGUAGCUUCAAAACUUCAUUCCUCACCACUUCUUGCAUGUGAGGAUUCAAUCUCCUUUGGGGUUGCCUCACUGGUUUUGCAUCUUCCUCCAUAUAAAUAUGGUGGGUGCACACCAAAGGGCUAAUCCCUUUCAGAUCAGAAAUUUGCCAUCCAAUGACUUUCUUACAUUUUCUGAGGACUCCUAAAAGACUAUCCUCUUGAUCACUAGUGAGGGUUGAGGAAACUACCACUGGACAUUUCUCAUCAUCCUCCAAGUAUGCAUACUUCAAAUCCACAGGAAGUGGCUUUAAAAUAAGCUUUGGAGGGUCCUCCACAGUAACUCCUUAUGAGUCUUCCUGGUUGAACAGUGGUAAGAUCUCUUCCCGUCUCCUCCAAGGAGACAUUGUGGCUAGCACAUCAAAGGGUUCAGGGAACCCAUCUUCAAGGACUUCCAGGUUUUCAUUCAAGCUCUCCUCUAAACUCUUGUCACAGUGCUCUUCAACCAAAGUGUUGAUCAAGCACAUCUCCUCGAAUCCUUCCUCCUCUUCAGGGUAAAGAUGCCUCUUACAUAAAUGGAAUAUGUUUAAUUCCAAUGUCAUGUUUCCAAAUGUGAGCUGCAUCACCCCAUUCCUACAAUUAACAAUAGCAUUGGAGGUAGCUAGGAAAGGUCUCCCUAGGAUGAUUGGUACAUAAUUUUCUUCCUUGACAGUGGAAUCAGUAUCAAGCACCACAAAAUCCACAGGAUAGUAGAAUUUGUCCACUUGAACUAGAACAUCUUCUAUCACUCCCCUUGGGAUUUUGACAGACCUAUCAGCUAAAGAGAGGGUCAUGGUUGUGGGCUUUAAUCCUCCUAGUCCCAAUUGUUUAUACACAGAGUAUGGGAGCAAAUGCACACUUGCUCCCAAAUCUAAUAAAGCUUUUUCCACAUGUGUCCCUCCAAUGUUGACUGAUAUGGUGGGACAUCCCGGAUCUUUAUACUUAACUGGGGACUUACUCUGGAUGAUAGCACUCACUUGCUCAGUGAGGAAUGCAUUCUUUGUUACCUGUAAACCUCUCUUGACUGUGCACAAGUCCUUUAGAAACUUUGCAUAUGUGGGGACUUGUUUGAUCAUAUCAAGUAAGGGUAUAUUCACCUUCACUUGUCUCAGAACCUCAAGAAUUUCUGAUGAAUUCUUGAUUUCUUUCUUUCCAUGUAAAUCUUGAGGAAAAGGGGGAGGCAUAUGUUUCUUCAUCAUAUCCUCCUUAAUCACUAUCCUUGGUUCUUCCUCGAUGCUUGAUUUGGAUGCACUCUUCUUCCCACUCUUCUCUUCUUGGCUCUUGCUCUCUUUAAUCAAGGGUCUCUUUGACCUGAGUUCUUCAUCAGGCUCCACGUUAGGCAAGGGUUGAUCAACCUCCUUCCCACUUCUCAAAGUGAUCACAGCUUUGACCUCUCUCAAAUUUGAAGACUCACCAUCUUGGGUUUCAACUUCAUGAACACCCUUGGGAUUUUGGCUUGGUUGAGAGGGGAACUUUCCCUUCUCAAUCACUGUGUUUAGGUUGGUAAGCCUAGAGAUGGAGUACUGAAUAUUAUCUAUCUUCUGAGAUAGAUCAUUUUGCAUCUCCUCCAUUCUCUUUAUUUGAGAACUCUCAACAUUUUCAAUCUUUUGAUGCAAUUGGGAGUUAAUUGCCUUUUGUUCACCCACAAAGUCACCCAUGACUUUACUCAGGUUUACAAUGGCUUGCUCCACUGAAGAUGGUUGUUGAGGUACUUGGGUUUGGCCUUGUGGUUGGUAUGGAGGUGGCCUUGGUUUCCAAGAAAAAUUUGGGUGGUUUCUCCAGCUUGAAUUAUAGGUGUUUCCAUAAGAUGCACUGUUGUUGGGCCUAAAUUGCCCCACAACAUUUACUUGAUCACCUAACAUCUCUCUCACAGCUGGCAUGGUUGGACACUCAUCUACCACAUGAUCACAUGAUUGGCAAAUGGUGCAUGGCAUAACAUGGACUUGGGUAUCGGAAAUGGCUUGGACUUCAUGUAUUUUUUUCAAUUCAAGUUCUUCCAACCUCCUAGCUAAUGUUGCCACUUUAGCUUUUAUGUCCACGUCUUCACUUAACAUGUACAUUCCAGCCUUUGGAUUUUGGGUUUGUUGAGAGGGAAACUUUCCUUUCUCUCUUGAGUUGGGCUCAUCCCAUCCUCUUGACACCUCAGCCACGUAACUUAAAAAGUCCAUGGCUUCUUCAGGAUUCUUACUCAUAAAAUCUCCCCCACACAUGGUUUCAAGAAUUUGCUUCAUGGAAGAAGACAUUCCAUCAUAAAAAUAGCUCACUAAGAGCCAUGUAUCAAAACCAUGAUGAGGACAAGCAUUGAUGGCCUCCAUAUACAUUUCCCAACAUUCAUGGAACUUCUCAUUUUCUUUAGCAGAAAAAUUUGAGAUUUGUCUCUUCAACCCAUUGGUCCUAUGGGUGGGGAAAAUUUUUUUCAAAAACUCAGCCUGAAGAUCAACCCAAUUCCUUAUGCUUCUUGGCCUUAAAGAAUUAAGUCAUAUUUUUGCCUUGUCCUUCAAAGUGAAAGGGAAUAGCUUGAGUCUCAUCAAGUCUAUUGAAGCUCCUCCCUCUCUAAAGGUAUUACACACCUCCUCAAACUCCUUGAUGUGAGAAUAUGGAUUCUCACUCUCCAUUCCAUGGAAAGUUGGUAGGAGAGGCACAAUAUGGGGCCUUAUAACCAACUGCUCAAGUGGGGGCAGGAUGCAUGAGGGUGCACUCAUCCUUGGGGGAUGCAUUCUAUCCCUCAUGGAUAGGUAUGCAUUGGGAUUACCCCCUUGACCUUGUUGAGAAUUCUGAUCCUCUGGUGGAGAGUCCAUGAUAUUUACACAGAUAUCCAACUCUGUGUCUUGAGGAUUCUCAAUCCUUACUAAUCUUCCCUCUUGGUCCCUAAUCCAAUAGGGCAUGCACAAGUUACAAUUCCUGUAAUAGUAAAAACAAAAGGAAACUAAAGAAAAGGUUAAAGUUAGGAAGAAAAUGAAAAUAAAAUUAACAAAAGGAAAAUGAAAGAAAAUGAAAUUAGUGAAAAAGGAAUUCACCCUGGUUGUGAUGAAAAUCACAAGUAGCCUCUAAAAGGUUGUAUCACUGUAUUGUGGCACCAUCCCCGGCAACGGCGCCAUUUGAUUCGAUGCCCAGCCGGGUCUUUUAAUCAAAAACAUUUAUAAAACCUAUGACCUUAUACUGGCGUAGCAAAACUACUAUAGUAUAGCAGUUCUAGGGUCGAACUCAGGGAUGAGUUUUCACUCUAUCAGUGACAGACUCUAAAUUAGAAAUUGAUUCUGAUGAUUUCCUUUAGCACAAACUUGAAAUUUAAAAGAAAAUAAAAUUGUUUUGAAAGUGGUGAUUUAAACUAAACUUACAUAGAACUAAGUAAAAAGUGGAAGAAAGAAAGUCUCCCGGAGCUAAAGGUUGCUAGGUUCAAGUUCCAGAUGCAAAGUGGAAAAUUCCGGAUUUUUCUCCUCGCAUUGGGGAUUUAACCUAUAGUUAUUUCCCGAACCGGUAUAGGUUUGACAAUGAAGUUUUAAUCCAUAAAAAGUCACUAGAGAUGGUGGUCAAGGUCCAUUAAUGGCUUAAGACACUAUGGGCUAUCACCUUGAAUCACUUUCCAAUGACUCGUACAUGAUAACUAAUGGACUGAUAUGGAUCUAGCAAUAAGCAUCCACAGAGACCUUAAGCUUACCAUGUAUUGGCCAGUCAAAGUGAUUCGAAGGGAUUUAAGGCAAAACCUUGGCUUUAAAAACCAUUUAUGGACUCCAACUACCUGAAUUUAAUGCACAGAAACUUUCCAUGUUUUAAUCUGGACUUUUCACCUAGCUUCCUUUACUCCAAGAAACUAAAUGUUUAGCCUCUCAUCNNNNNNNNNNNNNNNNNNNNNNNNNNNNNNNNNNNNNNNNNNNNNNNNNNNNNNNNNNNNNNNNNNNNNNNNNNNNNNNNNNNNNNNNNNNNNNNNNNNNUUCGGGAAGUGCUCCAAAAGUGCAAUGAAAGACUGUAGCUGUGUCCCCUGUUUUCCUCUUCUCCAUUGUUUCUUCCUUGUAUACUUUGAACGACUAAGGCAAAGGAUUAUGAGGCUCCAUAGCUUGAUUUCUUCAUAAAUUUAAGCUUUCAAAAGCUUUGCCAUGAACUAUAAAUAGCUCUCCCUCAUUCUUAAAUUGCUUUGGUGAGCAUAAAGCUAUCAAAAAGCACCAAAACUUAACACAAUUGUUAGAAACGAUUGCAAGGGUCCCUAACAUGUUAAUUGGGUUAAAAGGUAAUAAUUACUACUCAAGGGUGUUUAAAAGAGCUAAUUACAAGCUACAAAAUAGCAUGUUUUGAGUAGUAAUCAAUGCGUGAUACACAAAAGUGGAAGAGCGUGGUUGGACCGAAAACUGAAGAGAAGUUAAUGUCAAAUAUCAUGAGGUCUGGUCCGAUUAGUGUGCUACCCUAUUUGGGAGGGACGUUUAAGGUGUUUACUGGAGAGGUUUAUUUGGUUGUCGAUAUGAAUCAACGGACGUGUACUUGCAUGACAUGGCAAAUGUCCGGUUUGCCAUGUGCACACGUAUGUGCUGUCAUCCGCACACUGAGACACGACGUGUAUGACUAUAUUGACCCAUGUUUUCAUGUCUCCAUGCAUGAUUUGAUUUACUCGGGUCAGUUUCAACCAUUACCAACACAUAAUAUGCCGAAACUUUGUGACGAUCGAGGAUAUGUUAUAGAUUGCGCGGGCAACUCCUUUCCUGCUUGCCAACCCCCUCAUGUGAGACGCCCUCCAGGAAGACCCCGACGAUUGCGCAUUGAAUCACAGUUUUUUCAUAAGAGAGCAAUUCAUUGCUCUCGAUGCAAUGGAAUAGGUCACAACCGGUCUAAAUGUAAUAAUCCAUUGCCGUGACAUUUGCAUUUUAUUUGGUUGUACAAUUUUCUCAUUUUGUAUCAUUCCAUACAUGCUGUUGUAUGGUAUAUGGUAUGGGGUUGUUGAUUCUCGUUUUUAUAUAUUGCCCUAUUUAUAGGCACGAUGCACUAUUUUGGAAUUUUUCUUAUUUAGAGUUGCUUUCAAUAACCAACUUAAUUGAAAGUGCACUUUGAAUGUGGUUUCUUUUUAGUUGUUAUUUAAUUCCAUCUCUGUCUCUACAUUAUCGAGCAUUUAUUAUUUGGAGCCUCAUUAAGGAUGACAAUUUCUGUUACAUUAUUUUACGUAUAGGGGUGACAAAUUUUUUUUUCCAAUAAAGCGAGACUUCCCCUAUAUUUAUUUCCAAGUUGUGAAUUAGUCCUCUUAUCACAUUAUCUUCUGCUUGCACCUAUUUUAAUGUGCCAUCAAUUUCUAAGACGUCAUAAAAAUUGUCUUUCAAUUUGUCCUCAAUUAGAUAUACUUGUUACACACGUUGUCCAUAUGGUUAUUAUCUAGUAAUUUAUCUGGUUGCUGGUUGGAUAAUCGAUCAUACACGUGUUUGCUUCCAAACUCUAAGCGUUUUCGUAAAAUGUCAUAUUGUUAUGUAUUUCAUUUAUUUUUCCCUUACAACUAUGAUUAUGGAACACCAUUACCAAAUUAAUCAAACAGAUUAAUUGUCCAAAUAGUCAAUUGACCUUUCCCUUUAUUAUUAGUUUCUCCAGGUCAUCAUUAACUGCUAUAACAUGCAUUUCCAGGUGCCCGUUCUUCCAAGGUUGAAUCUUACAACAAUCAUUUCAUUCUUCUAUGGCCACUACGGAGGUGAUGCAUUCUUUCUUGUUUUUAAAUAUUGAUAAGUUAUUUCGGAUACUUCAUAUUUUUCCCAACUUACGACCUAUAGUUGUUUUUUAUGUUAAAGAUUGAAUAACAUAAACAUCCAAUCGUAAAUUAUGAUUCCACAUGAAUAUGUUUGUUUGUUCAUUCAAUUUUAUUGCUUUAUUCACAACGCUUACGUAUUCCUAUUGAUGUUAAUUUUUUCAUAUAUAAAAUUCAUGUGUAAACUACUACUGACCUCCAACCAUUUCAAUGCAGUCCACCAGAUUAUACACACGUUGUUCAUCUUCAAGGUUUCUAAAACUAUGCAACAGGCUCCCACAUGAGAAAUUGGACGUGGUUCGAGACUUUCAAUUUGGAGGUCUUCUUCACUUAAAUUGCAAGGAGAUCCGGCAUAAUAUCUGUACAUGGCUGAUUGCCCAUUUUAAUGUUGGCUACAAACGCAUUGAGAUUACAUCCCACAGAAGGUAUGAUCUGACAGCUGCUGAUGUCGGCCUUGUCUUUGGCCUCCCGACGACUGGCCGGAUUCUACAUAUUGCUACUACCCCGUCUAAUCAUCCAUUCGGUACCCUCAACACAUGUGAGGAGAGACUCCUCAACUUACCUAUUGGGGAGGAGUUCCGUAGAUGCUUCAUUUACUACGCUUGUGCGACGCUAUUAGCCCCCACCUCAAGGAUUGAUGGAUGCCGAAACUUGUGGCAUACCAUCCAUGAAGAUGGUUUCAGAAAUGAUGUUAAUUGGGGCCAAUUUGUUGUUGACCAGCUUGUGGAGGGUAUAAGACGAUUUAAGCAAGGGAACAGCGUCUGGGUUCAUGGUUGCAUUAUUUUCCUCCAGGUAUUGGCCUGCUUUAACAUUCAUUAAUUGGUAACUUUGAAUUUGUUAACAUCAGUACCAACAAGUAAGAAUUAUACAUAUGUUUAUUUCCAUUGUGCAGCUCCAUUACGUAAUGAAAUUCAAAAUUCCUUCCGUUCAUGUUCCGAUGACAGCGCCCCUACUCUCAACAUGGUCAGAUGAGUUGAUAAAGGAGCGCUUAUCUGCUGAGAUAAGUGAGUUUGGGAGUUUUGGACAUGGCGAGGUAGUCAUUUAUUCGGCAUGAAGUUUGUUGUAUAUUGAUUUACAUGCAAUUUGAAUACCUCCAAUGUUUCUAUGUUCUUAACAUGCAUGAUGUUCUCAUAAUGCAGGCGUUUGAUGAAUCGUCACCGCCCCGUACACAUGUCGAGGAUGACAGUGGACCGACAAGUAGUAAUGUAUGCUAAAACUACUUGUUACUUUCCGCAUUGAGUCCAUCUGAAUCACAUAACAAUUUGGUUAUCAUUGCUAUAUUGUUAAUAACUUCUAACCAAUUUUCUUUUAACUAGUUUGAAAUUAAAUUUGCCUAUGCCAAUUCGUUCUCAUGUGACAGGAAAUCUUGGAUAAGUACUACGCAGCUAAACGCCAAAUAAAUUCUUAUCAAAAGGGCAUUCAGCACCAGCUUGGCAUCAUGCGUGGUCUGAUCCAAAGAUUGGAUGCUCGAAGAAAAAGAAGUGUACAUUCACCUACUGCUGGUCACUCGGGCUAUGCAGCGGAUGAGUUUCCCGAUGCCGAGCAUGAUUCACCCGCUGCCCGAUAUGACAUGCCAACCCCAUUGCACCGAACAAGUACCGGACACUCCUAUUCGCCAUCCACCUAUUAUUGGUAACAUUUUGGGGCACAUUCAUUACUAUAUUAGUGGGUAGAAAAUAUGUCAAAUUGUACUGGGGUUCAGUUAACUAAUCUGUUAAUACUCCAAACAAACAGCUGAUGACGAAGUAGUCGUCCUUGACCCCUUACCUUUGCGUUCUAUGACUGUGGCCCGAUCCCAUAGCAUUGGGAGGCAACGGAGAGUGCAUCGGAUGGCUCCCAAUGUAUUGUCACCAUUCAUAGCGCAGGCACAAACCUGACAUUCUGCCAUAAAGAUGGACCUAAAAGCGGCAGCUGCAACUGUAUUUGAUGGAGAGUUGGACCCCAGGCAUGUUAUAUCAUAUACUACUCCAAUUUCAAGUGUUUCCACAUGCAACAAAUGGUAUUACCCUAACAUAUAUGGUUUUGUUGGCAGCGAGGAGCUUGUUUCCAUGCACGACACAAGUUUAACCAGAGGCAACCUCGCGUCUUUCCAGGGAGAUUGUUGGAUUGGCAAUGAUGUUAAUAUUUCAAUUUUUCCACUAGUUUGCAUUAUUUUAAAUUUUAAUGUGAUGUAACAUCUCAUUAGUCAAUCUGAAUAUCGAUUACAUUUUAAUCAUUUCUUCUUUUAGGUCGUGGAUGCAUUUUGCCGAAUGUUGCAAUUCGAUGAUGAAUCAAGGACAAAACUAUUUCUCUCCCCCUACAUAGCUGUAAUGAAUGCUUUUAAUGGCCACUACAUCUGAAUUUCCCUUGUUAUGAUAACAUGUCCACACGUUUGCACAUGUUUCCAUGCAUUAAGUACUUUCAUCUGAUAUACAGGACAUGGUGAUUCGUUCCAAUGCAAAACAUUUGACGCACGAUGCAAUUGUUGCGCGUUUUGAUCCAUAUAUGUAUGCCUUUGAUGGUUCGUAUCAGAAUGUUACUCAGGUCAGACUUGCAUUCCAAUGUUUUAUGUGGCAUCAUCUGAUCUCCUUGACCCAUUAUAUUUUCUAAUCCAUUGUAUGUGGCAUCAUGCAGGUCUACUUACCGGUCCUUUUCAAAAACCAUUGGACACUUUAUGUCUAUGACUUGCAUAAUAAGCGAAUCCAGCUCCUGGAUUCUCGGCCUGGAAGAAAAAGGAGUUGUAUGAGUGGAAUACAACAAAAAUUGGUAAGGUUCCUUCUACUCCCCUAAUAUUAGUUGCAUUGUACAACAUACUGUAAGUUUGAAUGUCAAUUACUUUGCUUCUUUAAGGCCAAGGUUGUUCUAUUGCUUGUUGCCGACAAGAAAGAAAUGGUUGCUGUAGACUUGAACAUGUACAGUUUUGUCAUGCCAGACGUACCAUGCCAACCAAAUGAGUUAGUGUUUACCACAAUUAAGUUUAAUUUGAUUUCAUAGCAUUUUCCAAAUUUUAUACUCCCCAUGUCACGCAUAUUAAGUUCUUACACAUUACUAUUUGUGUUAGCAAUGACUGCGGCGUUUUUAUUAUGAAAUUCAUGGACAACUGGUCCAAUGGGGGACUCUCCAAAUCGAUCGAUGUGGUAUGUACAUAUAGGCUUUCACUAUGCCAUCAUUUAUAUAAAAAUUGCAUAGCAUCGACAACUUAUUUAACCUUUCCUUAUAUGUCUUUUAAACAUGAAUGAGUGCAGGCCAAGAUGAAGAAGUAUAGAUUGAAGCUACUAGGCAGAUUAUUGCUUUCAUCACAUAAUGUGCAUCGGCAUCGAUUCAUGGUAGUUUGAGAUACACUUUUCAAUAGGAUGUGACGAGGAUUUUUAAAGCUGAUUGUACAUUAUACACGAAAAAGUAUAUACACAUGACAAUGUAUUGCGAAUAUUAUGGCUUAUAUAUUUAAUGAAGGUUCUGAUGAAGUCGUUUUUUCCCUCGCUCUCUCAAAACAUCUAAUAAAAGGCACCGCCAUUACAAACUAUAAAAAACCUAUGCAUCAACACGCGUACAUAGCGUUUACAAUUUAUUCAGUGUGAAGGUGUUUGUAUGGCGACCCCACGAACCGUCCCAUGACCUUGCUUUAACCAUUUAAUUGCAUUCCCCUUCCAACAAAACAUUCCAAUAUUUGACAAAUAAAAAACAAAUUAUCCAUUUAUCUUACAUAAGUAUUUUCACUUUGAUAACUUGCAUUUGGAGGAGAGACUGUCUGAGGGCUACUACGUCAGCAAGAAAAAUUUCAUACAAAAAAUUAAAAAAAAAAAAAAAGAUAACAGUUGUCGCGCCCGGAUAUCGACCGGUUUCCGACCGGCCAACCACAUCCGGUCGACCGGUUAAUAAACCCGCGAUAGGUAUUCGACCGGUUCACGUCCGGUCAAUGGUGUACACACGACUGGGAAGCCACCAUCCUCGACCGGUCACAUACAGCCACUGGGAGAGAGAGAAUGUAAAAAAUACUUCCGACCGGUAUUCGACCGGGUAUCAACCGGUUGAUCAACGGUAACAACCAGCCACUGGGAGAGAGAGAGUGUCGAAAAUGCACUCGACCGUACCUCGACCGAUGAUCGAUCGACACUCGACUGGCCGAUCUGAUUCCUCAACCGGUCACACACAGCUACUGGGAGAGAGAGAAAAUGACAAGCGCUAUUGCGACCGGGGAUCAAUCGGUUUAAGUGGGUCGGUCGACCGGUUGGUUCACCUGGCGCGCAUUUCUUCGACCGGUCGAACUACUUUUGACAUUGUUUUUGCUAUGAAAAAAUUGAUGUUUUGUAUGUAAUUAUUGAUAAAACAUAUAAUAGCUAGAGAAAAAAGGUUAGCGUUAUGUUGUAUUUUAUGAUUUAAGCAAAAUGUGAUGCUAAGAAAUAGAGGAUUUGUGUUGUUUUAAAAAAAUGGUCAUUAAUGUUAAUAGAAAGUAUCCAAUAUAAAGAAAUUGAUUAAAAAUUAAAUAUUAAGUUAGUCCAAGAUCCUAAAAUGGUUAUUUACAAUUUAGUUUGUAACAUUUUAAUUAUUUUUAAAAAUUUAGGAGUGGUAAAUGUUAUUUUUUAAGAAUAAAAACAAAAUAUCCAUUAAAUCAAUAUUAUUAUAUUCAAUAAUAAGAUUUAAAAUAGAAAAUAAACAUUAAGCCAACCCCAAAGCAACUCUCACACUUUCCAAGCCAAAGCGACUGUUCGACUUCUUACUUAUAGAGGGGGUCAACCGCGAGUGGAGCGAUCGAGCCAUUCGUGGGGUUGUCUUUUGAAAUACCCCCCGCGCGGCAUUUUGACAAUCUCAGGCUUCAAGGGUUUUGGGUAUUCAGCUUGGUGGGAAACCUACUUUGAACGGCAUUGCAACUAUUUCAUGGCUUCGGAGUGGGUUUUGAAGGGUGUGGAAUGAUAUUUGGGAGGUCGGUCGUGUGUAUUGGAAGGGGUCCUUGAUCAGCGCGCGUCAAAGGCGGUUUCUCACCUGUUCCCGCGCGCCAAUCUCCUUUGCUUCGGUUUGUUAUCACUUUGAUCUGCUCGUUUAUUUCUCUACCACCGUCGUCCCAUUCAGUUUGACUCUCUCAUGCUGCCUAGGAGAGAUACGGCUGCCUCUAGGGCACAGGGCAAGCGCCCUGCUGAGCCAUCUCAGCCCGGUGAGGCGGAGGCUCGCCGAAAGGCAAGGUUUGACACCGGUCUUUUCACUUCAAUGGAGGAAUAUCAAAGGUACAAGCAGAAGUUUUCCCAUAAGAAGGUUGUUCCAGGGAGAAAUAUUAAUUUCUCCCAACUACAGCAUUUCGACUUUGAGGGACUAUUCGCACGUAUGGGGUGGCUGCCAUUAGUGACUAUUUCCGAGCCGAUAUUUCCGACAUUAGUGAGGGCAUUCUAUUCACGAGUGACAUAUGGACACGGAGGGUCGAUUGUUUCGACCGUUAGAGGUGUGCAGAUCAAGCUUGACCCGGAGAGCAUAUGCCGCAUUUUAGACAUCGCUCCAGUCGGACUCAGGGUAUAUGAGUCUAAGGGUUGGCCCACUCUGGCGGGUUUCGAGCCUAGAGAGGCGAUACAGAGGAUGUGCGGCCUUGCUGAUGCGCGGGGGAUGGGCAAACCAUCAACACAUAGCCUGACAGUCAGAUCUCGCAUCCUUCACCACAUGAUCCUGUACAUUCUCUUGCCACGAGGCGGCCACCGAGAUGAGGUAUCAUAUCUAGAGGCAUUUAUCAUUGAUUUGAUUAUGACGGGGAGACGGAUUGACGUUGGAUAUGUGAUGAUGAUGCACAUGCUUGCAUGUUGCGAGAGCUCCACACGUGUUCUCCCCUAUGGCCGUUUUCUGACACAAGUAUUCAAGGAUGCGGGGGUUGAUUUGAGCAAGGAGCAGGACUUUGAGGCCUCAAGUAGUUAUGACAUAUAUGAUGAGCAAUCGUUGACCCGUAUGAAGUUUGAGAAGGGCCCCGAUGGAUCAUGGAUUAGGAAAGUGGAGCGACCAGUACCACAGCCUGCCGUUGAGGAGGAGGCGGAGAUUGGGGAGAUGGAGGGUGGGGUUGCCCCUCAGAGAGAUUAUGAGCAUACACAGACUGAGUUUGAUAUACAUGCACAGUAGUCCGAGGGCUGCCAGUUGGGGCCGACUGUAUCAGGGGGGAUGACGUUUGAGGCAAUGCACACAGCGGGAACAUCUUCGCAGCCAUCAUUCACUGAUCCACCUCAUGCGCAUACAUCACCUCAUAAAGCUCCAUACGGACCUAGUCAGGCUUGGAUCGAUUUAGGUGCUCAGAUCAGCUCACUGGGCGCUCGGAUUGAGGAGCUAGCAAUUGUCAAGGAUAUGCGAUUCCACUCUAUGGAGGAUCGCAUGGAUCAUUAUCAGACAGGCUUCACCGAGCAAUUCCAGUGUAUGCAGCAGAGAUUUCAGAGUAUUGAGGAUCGCAUGGAUCAGCAGCAAGCUACCUUUGCGCAUAUCCUCUAGAGGCUUGAUCGCCAGGACAGUCAGCAUGAGGACAUGAUGGCUUACAUCCGAUCGGUGUUUCCACCACCACCUCCUAAGUCGUGAUAGCAGCGAGAGCUAUUUAGGAUUAGCAUACGUAGAUGCAAAUCAUUGCCAUCUUUGUUUCUGUUGUCUAUGUUUACUCUAUAUUUCACUUGACUAUAUAUAUAUAUGUCUAUGUUUAUGUCUAUAUAUGUCUAUGUUUCCUCUAUAUUUCAGUUGACUAUAUAUAUAUAUAUAUAUGAUUUCUUUUGUCUUAUGUGAAUUAUACGUUUACUUUUUAUUAGUAUUAUAUGGCCUUUGAUUAACGCGUGAUAAAUGGAUUAUCGUGUGAUGGAACUCAUUCUAAUAAAUACUGGAAAAUUAUAGGUGAAGCUUUGUGUUGUCAGGAAGUUGGUCUAAUGGGAUUUUAAAAAAAUAAAUAGAAACAGACUACUCAUUGUAUAGAAAACUAAUGUAACAGUACCAAAAACUAGGCUGAACUAUAACAAUUAUCCUUCAAAGAGGGAUAUGACGAAAUAAACAGUACAACACAAAGGAAUGAAAAAAACACAACAUAAACUAACAAAGCAAUGCAACUCAAGAUGAGAAAAAAGUCCUAAAAAAGGGCAUUAAAUGAAUUCUCCAGAGAAGUGGGUGAUCGGUGUUUGGUUGCAAAAUCAAUGAAUUCAUUUAUGGGUUCAAUGAAGGCAUACUCAAGAGAAGUUGUUUUUAUUAUUAUUAUUAUUAUUAUUAUUAUUAUUAUUAUUAUUAAUAUUAUUAUUAUUUUUAAUGAUUAUCAUUUUAAGGGGCCCAAGUGCAAUUUUUUUAACUAUUUGUUUCCAAAAUCAAAACAUUAAGUAUGUCAAAAAAUUAUGUGGGUGCUAAAAAUUUUUGUAUGAUAUAGUACAACCUCCAUCUUUCAACUGAUCCAUCUGAUCGGGUGUUACAGGCAAGGGUGUGUGCGACGGGGCGUCCAGAUAGGUGACCGGUCGACCGGUUACACUUUCCCGGUCGUGUACCGGUCGAGGUGGCCCACUCAUUAUCUCUCACGUAGUUCCUUGCAUCUUGGGGAGUCAACAGUGUAUGACUGUGGUUUUGCAUUAAAUGGGGUUAAAUUAUGAACUAGAAAUCAUGCAUAUUGAAAUGACAUCGCUUUUUAAGUUUUCAAUUUGAUUUGCCUUCGAUCCAUGUCCGAAGGGCCUGACACAGGGCCGGUGAAGGGGAUAAUAGAAGGCACCAUUCGAAAGUUAUCACUGCCCUCACAUAAAGGCUAGGGGUUACUUCAAUUAUGCAACCAUAUAUGGAAGGGGUCCUUCCAAUUAUAUCCAGUUUAUAUAAUGCAUUCAGAUAAAAUUUCAAGAUUCUAAAUACAGUAACUAAUAGAUCAACAUGUCCAUUAUGUCAAGACUUAAGUAAUGGUAAUAAUUCAAAAAACAUUAUGAAAUAUGUAUAUCAAUUGAUAUGUUGUUGUUGUUUAUAUUUAAUUGAAAACUCCUAACACAACUAUGAUCGUAACAUGUUAAUUCAGUUUUGUUCCUUGUAGUCUCCACAUUCGCUUUCCUCAGCUGUAGCAACCAUCACCUCAUAAAAGUUCUCGAUCGUGCGAACCAAAAAUUCAAUCUGAGAGCGAACAAAACAAAAAACGUAAAGUCAGUCUCGCAUCCUCCAAGGUGCCUUGAAACAGUAGGAAUUAAUCACUCAUAAUAAAUUAAUAUGACAUCAUGUCACAACUUGGAUGUUUUCUUCCCAUUUUUUAUGCACACAUACAACACUUACAUAAAUCAAGGCAUUUAGAAGAUACUAUGUCACUCGAAAUUAAUUUGUCAUGGUAGGCAACAUUAUCUGACAUCGAAAGUAAGGAAUAUAAAAUAGGAAGGAGGGAGGUUUGAAAGAAUAUUGAAAAAAGAAAUGAGCAAAGAAUUUUUCGAAAAUCGUUUGAAAUCCUUCAAGUUAGGUAGCCUUGUACACCCUUGUACAGUUAGCACAUUGGCCUUGUACACUUAGUGUAAAUGCCUUGUACAGUUGGAGAAAUCCAUAAUAGGGACGACCAAACAAGUGCAUAUGGGUGGGAAAACAAUGCUUCCACUCUCAUGGAUAAGGGAAAAUGAUGAAAAAGUUAAGCCUCGUUUUGCUUCAUAUGCAUCAUUAGUAGGGGAGCUAAUAAAAUUAAUUAACAUGGUAGCCAUCACAUAAAAUGCGUGCAAUGAGGCACCAUUCAAGUAAUAUGUGUGAGGAAUGUCCUCGACGAUUGGAAAAAGUAAAUGAGUAAGUUCUUCAAAAUCACUUGAAAACCCUUAAGAUACACGCCCUUGUACACCCUUGUACAGUUAGCACAUUGGCCGUGUACACUUAGUGUAAAUGCCUUGUACAGUUGGAGAAAUUCGACAUAGCUACAGCUGAAUGAGUGUAAAUGGGUGGGAUAGCCACUCGCCGAUGUCAUAGGUCAGUGAAAAGGGGGAAAAUGAAACCCAAUUUAGGUUCCCAUUCAUCAUACGUGUGCUAGCAUAUUCCAAUGAAUGUGUAUAAAGGGAAAUGAGGAGGGAGUACGAGGCAUGUCCCCCUUUGAAAAAAGAAAUGAGCAAAGAAUUUUUCGAAAAUCGUUUGAAAUCCUUCAAGUUAGGUAGCCUUGUACACCCUUAUACAGUUAGCACAUUGGCCUUGUACACUUAGUGUAAAUGCCUUGUACAGUUGGAGAAAUCCAUAAUAGGGACAACCAAACAAGUGCAUAUGGGUGGGAAAACAAUGCUUCCACUCUCAUGGAUAAGGGAAAAUGAUGAAAAAGUUAAGCCUCGUUUUGCUUCAUAUGCAUCAUUAGUAGGGGAGCUAAUAAAAUUAAUUAACAUGGUAGUCAUCACAUAAAAUGCGUGCAAUGAGGCACCAUUCAAGCAAUAUGUGUGAGGAAUGUCCCCGAAGAUUGGAAAAAGUAAAUCAGUAAGUUUUUCAAAAUCACUUGAAAACCCUUAAGAUACACGCCCUUGUACACCCUUGUACAUUUAGUACAUUGGCCUUGUACACUUAGUGUAAAUGCCUUGUACAGUUGCAGGAAAUUGACCUAGGUACACCUUAAUGACUGCACAUGGGUCGGUUAACCACUUCCCAAUGUCAUGGCUCAGUGAAAAGGGCGAAAAUGAAACUCAAUUUGGUUUCCUAUUCAUCAUAAGUGCACUAACUAGUCCCCACAACUCACCUUCUGCACCAUACCCAUUUAUUCUGUAGAAUAUAAACCCAACAACCAGAUUAUAAAGUGAGGAAUUUUCAAACAGCUGAAAUGCCAAUUUUGAGGAUAUCUUUUCCGACGAAUUAACUGGAAGUUUCUUUCAUUUACUUAGCUUGUGCUUCAUUUGUAUGAGGCAAGAUGGAUAUGAUCAAAGCCUCAUUUAUACCCCACCCUCAACCCUAAAACACGCUGUUAGUAAGUUCAAAAUUUUUUAAGAACACCCCAACACCAGAUCAAAACGGACGUCUUUCCUCAAACGUUGUAAACAAACAUCCACCACAUCAUCAAAUGAACCAACAUGAAAUCAAAAUCUCAGAAAAUUUAAUCACACCCACCCUCAUUUCGAUUUGGGAAUGAUGAUGAUCACAUACAUGCGAAGGCUUUUCUGAGUUGCUCACAAUCCUCGGCUGCACGAUUGGGGGACAUUCAUAGUUGGCUUCGUCUUUAACCAUGGUGUUUACGGAGGGAGAGAAAGGGGCAGGAGAGUGGUGACCAUUUUUGCCAUUAUUUGAGAUUUUUCAGUCAGCAUGACAUGGCAUUUCAAGUGUAACCACUUUAAUUUACCAACCAGCUGACUUGGAACUAAUGAAGGGUAUAUUGGUCAGUUAAUAUCUCAUAGCCUUCUUAUUAAUUUUGUUACAUAGAUGGACCAUUUGUUAAUUUUUGGGCCCAGCUGGGCCCAAAACACAAUUCUCCCUAAAAAAUAAUUUCUGACAUCUUUUCUUGCAAAUAACUUUUUAAACAUCGAUUUUCAAAUAAUUUAAAUAUUUUCCAUUUUUCAUCCUUAGGUUUCCUUAGGUUCCAAAAUUCUGUUUUUAAUAAAGUUUGCUGCUAUCUCUCUUCAACAUGCAAUUUUCAUAAUUUUCCAGAUUUUAAAACGUUUUAAAAAUAAGUCACAAAUUAAAUUUCAUAAUUCUCAAGUGAUGAGAUUUAUGGAAUUGAUUCGUGCAAAAUAAACGGGCUUUGGUGGGGGCCCCACAUAUGUGAAUUCAUGAUUGAUUGAUUGUUUGAUUGAUUUACUUAUCUUGUGUGUUUGAUCUAUUAUGUUCCUUGAUAUGCGCUUAAUUAUAUCUUGUUCAUUGCUCACUAACCCUAUUUCAUGAUAGCGCAUUCGAGAUUGCUGCCCAGGUACGCAUUCACUCGUUAUGAUAAUUCAUUUUAUAUAUUUUGAUUCUCAUACAUACAUGAUUGAUGUGAGUAUUCAUUGAUUUUCUUAUCAAUUGCCAUGUCAGCUUCAUUUUAUUAGUAGAGACCCGACUUUAAGGACUUAGAGGGGUGAUACGGUCUUUACCGUACCUUCCCGAUAAGUAACCUGACCCCCGAACUCGAUCCGGUUUUUCGUAGAUCACCUUUUCCAAAAUAAGGAGUCACACUUAGGGUUUUUCUUUCUUAUUUUGUUUACCCUUUAAAAAAAUAAAACAAAAAUAAAUGGCAACUCCAAGUCAUUUUCUAAUAAAUAAAAAUCAAUUUUUUGAAAUAAAAAUCAAGCUCGCCGUCGAGUGAGAAACGUAUUGAGCCGAAAUACGGGGUCCACAUAUAUCUUAUAUUAUAUUUGGUUGGUGAUGAGAUAAUUGAUCUCAUCAUUAUAUAAUCUUAUGUUCAAUUAAACAUGGAUACGAUAAAUGGUAAAAUAUAAUAUCCACCAUUUUUUUUAUAUUCCUUCCGCAUUAAAUAUAUUGAUCAUAUACUAAGAUGUGGAAUAUGCAUAUUUCAUGCAUCAUAAAUUUUUUCUUUUACAUUAUUUAUUUUGUAAAAUAUUUUUUUUUAUUAUAAAAUUAAAUUUAUGGUUAAAAAACUAAAAAAAUAUUUAUAAAAUAAUAUUAAUAUAUGUAUUAUUUUAUAAAUUAUUUUUAUAUACUGAAUAACAUUAUAUAAAAAAAAUUAUUUAUGAAAUUUGAAUAUUUUAAUUAUGAAUACUAUUAAACGUAAAAGAAAUUUUAUUUUUUAAAUAAGAAAUAUUGAAAUGUAAUUUAAUUUCUAUUUUAAAUAUUAAAAAAUUAUAUAUAUAUAUAUAUAUUAUAAAUAAUGGCUGGUUGGAGUUUAUCCCUUGCAUGUAUAUUUUGAGACUCAGAGAAAACAAAAAAUUAGAAAAGGGAAAAACAUUCCUACAAAGCAUGUUUCAUUAAAAUUAAAAAUAAAAAUAACUUAAAAAAAAUUCUUGCAAACCAUGUUUCAUUUGGAAAAAAAAUCUUCGGGCCCUCUUGAAAGCCCCUUUUUUUUGUUGUUGUUGGUAAGAGAAUGAAGAUUCAUGCAUCGACAGAGAGUACGGAAGAGAUGAUCCAAUUAUCCCAGUUUUACUUUGGGUGUUGGGCCAUUAAAGUAGGGACCAUGGUUUGUUGCGUGGGCCACUGGGCAAGGAUGGCACAUAGCCCUGCCCAUUAAUCAGUAACCAAAACUUAAACUGAAAGAAAAAUGGGCUUUUGAGUACCUACCUACCCACUACUUCGCUAUUAACAUCAGAGACGUGGAGAAACAACAGCCAGGAGCUGAAUCACGAGCCACAGCGAUGAAUCUCUUGGGAUUUUACUCAUAUCAUUUAUUUAUUUAUUUAUUUUUAAAAAAGUGAAUCUUUAUAAAGUUUGUUUUUAUAAUUUUUUUAAAAGUAUAAUUACGAUUAAAUAAAAUUAUUGAUUUAAGAUUGCUCUCUAAGGCUCUAUAAAUAUAUAUUAUCAUGAUUAUCUGAUUGGAUAUAAUAUGAGAUAAGAUAAAAGAAAAAUAUCAUAUUUUAUUUCAUUUUUUAUUGGUGAUGAAAUAAAAUAAGUUAUCAUUUCACUUAUCAUAUCCGAUGCUUCACCAAAAAUAAAAUUAAUUGUGUAAUAUAUUUAUUAUCCACCUAUUUUUUUAUAUCUCUUCUAUGAUACAUUAAUCUCAAGUUAUGAUGUAAGAUAUACAUAUUUCCUACAUCAUAAAUUUAUUUAUUUUUUUAUUAGGUUUUUUUUUUAUAUACUUAUUUUACAAAAUAAAAUUUUUACUAUGAAAUUAAUAAUGUUUUAAAAAAUUAAAAUAUAUUGUAAAAUAUUAUAUAUUAAUAUUAUUUAUAUAUAUGGAAUAACAUAAUAAAAAUUUAGUUAUAAAAUUUAUAUAUAUAUAUAUAUAUAUAUAUAUAAUUUGUAUAGGAUUGAUAGACAAAGAACAUAAAAAGUAAGCAAAGAGCAAAGAGAAAUAGUCAAAGGGUACAUUAAGUUAUUUAUAAUAUUUUUAAAAUAAUAAUUUAUAAUUAAUUACUAUAUUAUUUAUAUGCAUUAUUAUUAAUAUUAUUCUUUUUUGAUAGGUUAUUGAUAAUAAUAAUGAUGAUGAAAAUAAUAAUAAUAAUUAGAAAAUAAAAUUUUGUGUUAUAAAAACAUUUUUUUAUUAUAAUAAUUUUUUAUAGUUAUCUUAUAAAGUUAAACAAUUCAAAAUUUUUGAAAUCUAUUUAAGAAAAAUAUUUUUUUUUAAAUUAAUAUUUUCUUAUGAAAUCUUUAUAAUAAAAAAUAUAAUAAAUUUAUUUUUUAAUUAUUGGAAAUAAUUUGUAAUUAAUUAUUAUAUUAUUUAUAUGUAUUAGUAUUAAUAUUUUUCUUAUGUGAUAGGUUAUUGAUAAUGAUGAUGAUAAUAAUAAUAAUAAUAAAAGAAAAAGAAAAUAAUGAAGAAAAGACGAAAUAGGAUUAUGUUUGACUUUAAAAUGAAAAGUGCGAAGGUAUAUUUAACUUUUCGUAUUUUGAGGUGUUUUGAAGAUUUAUCAAAGUAAAUAACCCUUCAUGUUCCUUAUCACACUCAACCCACCCUAUAUGACAAUUUUUCUAUUUUAAAUUUGUAUGAGAAUAGGAAACAAACCUCCCAAAAACACCAAAUUAAUGAAGUAAAUAAAUAAAUAAACAAUGUGAAAAUAAUAACAAAUAAAAGUAGACAAAACAACAUACAUAAUUUACGUGGUUCACUCAAAACAGGCUACAUCCAUGAAGUCGUUCUAAAUCUUCAGAGAAAAAAUAACAAGUAUUUACAAACACUCACUCUUCAUAACUCAAAUCUCAAUUAUACUUAGAGAAUAAUAAUUUUGUAACUCUUAAGAGAAUCUCCCUUUUUCAUUUAAAGAGUUACACCACUUUUUUUCUCUCAACUUUGGAAUGUAUAGAAUGAGGGAAUGAAGCCUCUAUUAAUAGGUGUCUACCACAAUUAGAUUUCAAUGUAAUUCACAAGUUAUUAUUAAAUAUAAGUGAUUUGAUCAUAUCGACAAUUUCCUCAUCCAACAUUAUUUAUAUAUAUAUAUCAUACAUGCACACACAAAUAUGGGAUUUGUAAUGUGCAUUCAAUCAAGGACUCCAAGUCCAACGGCUAUGUUUAAUCAAGGAUUUGUAAGCUAGGUUCAAUUCAAUUGGAUGUUUGAAUUGACAAGAAAAAUUAAAAUAAAAAUAUAUAUAAAACAAAUAAAUAAUUUAAUUUUUUUUAUUACACCUUGUACACGUGGCAAUACUUAUGAUAUUGAUACUAGAGUUGGUUUUUGGUGCCAGAUCCAAAAUUUAUAAAAAUAAAUAAAUAAAAGGAAAUCCCAAACCUAUGGGGUGGGACCGUCACCAAAGGUCCCCAUGAUACCCUGUCUUGUGACUUAAGACUUGUCCAUCCCUGUACGUAUGAGGGAUCUAGCUAGCAAUACCAAGGCAUGCAGCACUGUUAGGAUUGUAAAAUAGGUUUGUCAUGCUGUUAGUGUUUGUUAAGGCCUUGCGUCCCGACGAUCCACGUAACUGUCAAGUGGACGCGCGCUUUCAACCAAGAUAGAUUUCUGGUUCAAUUGUCCCUGCAAAAGAUGUCCGGACACGAUAGUUUUGUCAGCCAUGUCUAGAGAGAUUAAGCAGUUGACCUUUUUCUAGGUAUAGCAAGCUUACCUUCCUCCUUGUGUGAAGGUCCUUAUAUAUAGUGUCAGAAGCUCUGUCUCCCUCUUUAAUGAUGGGAAGACUUUUUGGCUCGUCAUGAUGCCUUUAGGUGGUGGCAGAGUCAUCAUCACUCUAUAGAUGACUAUCAGAGAUCGUGGGAGGCGACUUGCCAUCAUUCCUGUCCUUUCGCUCUGCAGGCAGCGGAACGUGGGCUGUGGCAAGCUGUCAGAAUGAUGUAGCAAGACUUGCUCACUUCGGUCAAUGAUCCGGAUAGGAUAUGUUAUCGUCCGGGUGUGACAUUCGCGAGUGACGUGUGCUUCUUCUUGAGGGAGUCCGGAUAGAGGAGCGCGCCAUGUGUCCCUCUUUGGGGAGUUUGGAUAGAGUUGCUCCGGAUAGCAAAGCGCGCUACGUGUUUAUCAGGGGGAGGGGUCCCUACAGUGUUGUACACAUGUAAGCAAGUUUGUUAGUGGGUAGAAACGUGGUAUAAAUAUUGAGGUUUGCACCGUAAAGAAAAGAACAGAGGAUUUAAUAAGAACUUCUUCCAGAUUUCUCCUGGGUCUUUUUCUCUUUAUUCUCUCAGUUCUAAUAAGCAUCAAUGGAGCCAACAACUGUAGAGUCUUUCCCUUCUGAGACUCAAACCAGGCUUCAUCCCAGUUUCGUACUCGACGAGGAGGAGCGUCCCAAGGUGGCAUACAACCAUUUCAGCGACGCCAUUCCCGUGAUAUCUCUCGCCGGUAUCGAUGAAGCCGAUGGCCGUAGGUUGGACAUUUGCCAGAAAAUUGUGGAGGCGUGUGAGGAGUGGGGGAUCUUCCAAGUGGUUGAUCAUGGCGUUGAUUCUCAUCUCAUUUCAGAGAUGUUUCGUCUCUUUGGAGAGUUCUUCGCUCUUCCUCCAGAUGAGAAACUUCGAUUUGACAUGUCAAGCAGCAAAAAAGGCGGUUUUCUUGUCUCUAGCCACCUUCGAGUAAUCUUCCAUCUAUCACAUUUUUCUUCUCCACAACUCAAUUGAAAAAUUAUGUCUUCUCUUUUCUCUGUAUCUUCAAUUUAAACAUGCUCGAAUUAACCAUUCAAUUACAGGGAGAAGCGGUGCACAAUUGGCGGGAGUUUUUAACUUACUUCUCAUACCCACUUCGGGAGAGGGACUACUCAAUGUGGCCGGAAAAGCCGGAGGGAUUGACGGCAGUGAUGAAGGAGUACAGCGAGAAGCUCAUGGGUUUGGCAUGCAAGUUGCUGGAGGUGAUGUCUGAGGCUAUGGGUUUGGAGAAGGAGGCCUUGUUUAAGGCCUGUGUGGACAUAGACCAGAAGGUGUUUGUAAUGACCGGGCAUUUUAUGCCACGUUAGCAAUUUUAGUUUGAAAAGUCUUAAUUUAUGUGAUGGUUGAAAAGUCAAAAAGAAAAGCGUUUGGAGAACACGUGUCAAUUUCGGAUUGGUGAAUUUCGUUUUAUUGCGUCGGUCAAUUAAACGAGUUGAAAUUUUAUGCCAUGUCAGCCUUAGGAUAGAAAAUUCUUAGGAUUUUAGAAAUUGGAAAUUUACGGGAACGAAAAACGAAAACGAAAAAUGAAAAAUAAAUCAAUUAAGAUUAAUUAGAAUUAAUUAAGAAAAAUUAAUUAAUUAAUUAAAUUAAAUUGAUGAAUAAUAAUAUUGAGAAAAUUAGUUUUUAUUUGGUGUUAAUAAAUAAAAUUGUGUGUUAAAAUGAAAAAAAAAUGAAUGAAAAAUGAAUUGGAAAUUAAAUAAAACAAUUAGAAUAAAGAAAAGAAAUAAUAACAAUAAUAAUGGAUUGGGCUUAGUUUUUGAGUUGGGCUUGGAGCAAGUGGGCUGGUGGUUUUUUUUUAAAAAAAAGCCAUGUGAAGUGGGCUGGGCUGUUAGUAAAAAAAAAAAAAAAAAAAGGAAAAGGGAGAGAACUGGCAGUAGCACGCACGCGGGAGAGAGAAACAGAAAAGGGCACUGUGCAAAUUAGGGCACUUGCCGGAAUUUUGAUCGGACGUUUGGACGGCCAAACGAUCUCCGUUUCGGCCCAAAUUCGGAGGAAGUACUCUAUUCGACUAGACGAACAAGCCUGCGGUGGCUGAUUUUGUUUUUAACGGUCAAAUUUUCAGAUCUGAGGUAGGGGACCCUAACCCUAAAACUUAAAUUUUUAUGUUUUUCCCUUGGAAAAAAAUUAUAGAUAUUGUCAUUUUGAGUUAAUUAGGAAUUAUAAGUGUUGUAUGAAUUUUUCUAGAAUAUUUGGGAUUUGUUUGGAAUUUUUGGAAUUUCGGGAAAUUGAUUUUGAUUGAUAAUUAAUUGUUUUGAAAGGUUAAAAAUUAUUAGAUGGGUUGGAAAAUUCCAAAAUUUGGGUUAAAUUUUAAAUAUAAUGAUUUGUGAAUUUUUAGGCAUUGGUUAGAAUAUUUUCGAAAAUUUUAGGGUAAAUAGUUAGUUAAUUUUGGAUAUUAGAAAUUAUUAUAAUGGUUGAAAACUUUUGUAAGUGUGGUAAAAUCUCAAGAUUGUUGAUAUGCAAUUUUUUUUAAUAUUUAUUUGGGAUAUUAUUGGAAAUUGUAAUGUGUGAAAUUGUUUGAUUGGAUUAUUGGGGAAUGUUGAGAUUGUUGAAUUAUUGAGGAACAUUGGAAUUGUGGCAUUCAUUGCAUCAUGGUUAUGUGAAAAAAAUAAAUAAAUAAAUAAAAUCAUGAAGAUUGUGAAAAGUGUAUGAAAUGGAAAAAAAAAUGAAAUAGAGAUGGGAAGUGGAAGCCCGUGUGAGGCGAAUUAAGAAGGGAGAGAGAUCCCUAGGGUGAAAGACCCAAAAGUUUACCCCGGGAAGACUCCGAAUGGGGAGUGUAUUUGGGUGCGGACGCGUAUCCUUCAGUGAAAGCCCGAGAACAAUAGUGCAUUGUAUGACUGUGUGUCACACGUUCAUGUGCAUUCAUGUAAUUGUUGAAUAUUGUGAAAUUGGGUAUAAAAUUAUAUAUAUUAAACUAUGUGGUUUGAUUGACACUGUUGAAUUGUUCCUUUGGUGUUGAAGUGUUCUUUUCGUAUUCUUUGAACUUAGUAAUCCCUUUAACCCCUUUGGUGUUAGGCACCCUACUGAGCAAUGUGGAAAUGCUCACCCCUUCCUUGUUACACCUUUUUAGAUGCAGAUAUCUCUCCUGAGGAUCCACAGGUGGGACAGGGAGGACUUCAGGAUGCUCCUGGAGCGGCCUAGUGGAGCGUGGCAUUUAUUUGUUAUUGUGUUCCUUUUUGGAUUUUGGGGAUUUGUUUUAGCAAUUAUGACUCAUGGAUUUGCUAUGAAGCUUUAUUUGAUUAAGUUGUUAAUUGUGAACCUUUAUUUUGGACUAUAAUGAAUAUUUAUUUAAUCUUGUUGUUUUGAGUAGUUUUGGGAUAUUGUAAUUUAUGAGAAUUCUAGUGAGAUGUAUAAAAAAAAAAAAAUCCAGAGUGUUUUGGUUGACUGCCAACAUGGAAUAGGAGGAACCCUUAGGGUCAAACCUUUGACCUGGGGUCACGGGUCAAAUUUUGGGUCGCCCGGAAUUUGGGUCGUGACAGCGUGGUAUCAGAGCCAAGGUUGCGAUAAUACCUUGGGGUCAAUGUUUGUGGGUGUUUAUGUGUGUUGUGAUGUUAUAACUUUUGUAUGUGUUAAUUAUCAAGUUGAUGAUUAAUUUAAUUAUGUAUUGAGAGCGUAUGAAAGUGAAAGUUUUGAUAAUUGUUGAAGUUGCUAAGUGUGUAUAUGUGAAAUUUAUUUUUGCUCACCUUAGUAAUGUGAUUGAAUUAGGGUUUGUUAAACUUGAAAUGGCGGGAAGGACCAGAGGAGGAAGAUCAGAGAGGAAUGAGGAGUUGGAGACAGUUAGAGAAGAACUCCGAGAAGUAAGAAGAGAGUUGAGAGAAACUGUUGAAUUGAUGAGAGGCCAAGGUUCCAGGAGAGCAGGAGGUACCCAGGGCCAUGAGGAUUCAGGCCACUCACAUAGGAGGAGCCGCACUGAGAGGCCAGUAAUGAGCCAAAUGGAAGCAAUGAAGAGGUUCAUGGUGAUGCAGCCUCCAUCUUUUAAUGGAGAGCCCAGUGCUGAAGCAGUUGAGCAUUGGUUGAGGAGGAUGAGAAGAAUUUUGGUGGGACUGGACAUACCUGAGGAAAAAAGGGUAGGUCUGGCAACAUAUAUGCUUGUGGACAAAGCUGAUUUCUGGUGGGAAUCAAUGAAAAGGGUGUAUGACACUGAGGUUAUGACCUGGGAGGAAUUUGAGAGAAUCUUCCUAGGCAAGUAUUUUGGGGAAGUGGCUAAGCAUGCCAAGAGGAUGGAGUUUGAGCACCUCAUCCAAGGAACCAUGUCAGUGCUGGAGUAUGAGUCACGUUUCUCAGAGUUGUCUCGUUUUGCUUUGGGGAUGAUCAGUGAGGAAGGAGAAAAGGCUAGGAGGUUCCAACAGGGGUUGAGGCCUGCUAUUAGGAACAGAUUAGUCCCACUGGCAAUAAGGGAUUAUUCUGAGUUGGUUAAGAGGGCUUUGUUGGUGGAACAGGACAUUGACAAAACCAACCAAAUUCGAGAGUAAAAGGGGGACAGAAAAGGGAAACAAAGAAUGGGGGAAAGUUCCCAGGGGCCACAGCAGAGGCAGAGGACUCAGCAGUUUGAGAGGCGUCCCUCGUUCUAUGCAGGAGAGGGGCAGAUUGCUCAGAGGGCGGCUGCUAAUAGAGUAUGUUAUGGUUGUGGAGCAGAAGACCAUUUAUGGAGGGCUUGCCCAUUGCGAGGCGCACAGCAGACUCGACCUCAGUCUCAGGGAAGUUCUCAGCAACAGUCAGUAGUGUCUUUCCAGCCCCCUCAGCUUCAGUUGCCUUACUAUCAGAUGCCACAAUUACCCCCAGCAGCGCAGGGAACCAGGACAACUACCACGAGUCAGACCCGCUCUUCUCAGGGGUCGAAUGCUAGAGGUAGGGGAAGGCAGGCAGCAGGAAGAGUUUUUGCCUUGACCCCAACAGAGCCAGAGGAGGAUGCCCUUUUGGUGGAAGGUAUGAUUUUGGUAUAUAGUACUUGGGUGCGUGUUUUGUUUGAUACUGGUGCAACUCAUUCUUUCAUUUCUGCAUCUUGUGCUAAUGCAUUGGGGUUGAAAUCGGAAAGGGUAGAGAAUUUGUUACUUAUUGAGUCUCCUAUGGGUACGAACUCUAGAGUUGAUAGAAUAUGCAAGGGGUGUGUUAUUACCUUGGCAGAUAGAGCACUAAAUGUGGAUUUGAGGAUUUUGGAUAUGACUGGGUAUGAUGUUAUUUUGGGAAUGGAUUGGUUGGCAGUGUAUAGAGCGGUUAUUGAUUGUCAUCGCCGCAGGAUAAUAUUUUGUUUGCCAGAGGGAUUUGAGGUUUGUUUUGUUGGAGGGAAGUGUGUUAGUUUGCCUUUUUCGCAGUCCGAUCCGUGCUAUCAGUAUGUGUUGAGGAAAGGAUCAAUAAAUUUCCUAGCUUGCCUUCGUGGUAAGGAGAAAGCCCAGAAGGACAUUACAGAAAUUCCAAUGGUGAGGAAGUUUCAGGAUGUAUUCCCAGAUGAGUUACCAGGUUUACCACCGCAUAGAGAGUUUGAUUUCUCUAUUGAAGUAUACCCAGGAACUGAUCCUAUUUCAGUAUCCCCUUAUAGGAUGGCCCCUCUUGAGUUGAAAGAAUUGAAAACUCAGUUAGAUGAAUUGUUGGGUAGGGGUUUUAUUCGUCCAAGUACAUCGCCAUGGGGAGCNNNNNNNNNNNNNNNNNNNNNNNNNNNNNNNNNNNNNNNNNNNNNNNNNNNNNNNNNNNNNNNNNNNNNNNNNNNNNNNNNNNNNNNNNNNNNNNNNNNNNNNNNNNNNNNNNNNNNNNNNNNNNNNNNNNNNNNNNNNNNNNNNNNNNNNNNNNNNNNNNNNNNNNNNNNNNNNNNNNNNNNNNNNNNNNNNNNNNNNNNNNNNNNNNNNNNNNNNNNNNNNNNNNNNNNNNNNNNNNNNNNNNNNNNNNNNNNNNNNNNNNNNNNNNNNNNNNNNNNNNNNNNNNNNNNNNNNNNNNNNNNNNNNNNNNNNNNNNNNNNNNNNNNNNNNNNNNNNNNNNNNNNNNNNNNNNNNNNNNNNNNNNNNNNNNNNNNNNNNNNNNNNNNNNNNNNNNNNNNNNNNNNNNNNNNNNNNNNNNNNNNNNNNNNNNNNNNNNNNNNNNNNNNNNNNNNNNNNNNNNNNNNNNNNNNNNNNNNNNNNNNNNNNNNNNNNNNNNNNNNNNNNNNNNNNNNNNNNNNNNNNNNNNNNNNNNNNNNNNNNNNNNNNNNNNNNNNNNNNNNNNNNNNNNNNNNNNNNNNNNNNNNNNNNNNNNNNNNNNNNNNNNNNNNNNNNNNNNNNNNNNNNNNNNNNNNNNNNNNNNNNNNNNNNNNNNNNNNNNNNNNNNNNNNNNNNNNNNNNNNNNNNNNNNNNNNNNNNNNNNNNNNNNNNNNNNNNNNNNNNNNNNNNNNNNNNNNNNNNNNNNNNNNNNNNNNNNNNNNNNNNNNNNNNNNNNNNNNNNNNNNNNNNNNNNNNNNNNNNNNNNNNNNNNNNNNNNNNNNNNNNNNNNNNNNNNNNNNNNNNNNNNNNNNNNNNNNNNNNNNNNNNNNNNNNNNNNNNNNNNNNNNNNNNNNNNNNNNNNNNNNNNNNNNNNNNNNNNNNNNNNNNNNNNNNNNNNNNNNNNNNNNNNNNNNUAAUGUCCCUGCUGCUUUCAUGGAUUUAAUGAACAGGGUAUUUCGUGCUUACUUGGAUCAGUUUGUGAUUGUCUUUGUGGAUGACAUCUUGAUCUACUCCAGGAGUUUGGAGGAGCAUAAGCAGCAUUUAGUGACCACCCUUGGAACUUUGAGAAGGCAUCAGUUGUAUGGGAAGUUGGACAAAAGUGAGUUUUGGCUUACUGAAGUGAACUUCUUAGGCCAUGUGGUUUCUGAGGCAGGAAUAGCAGUAGACCAUUCAAAGGUGGAAGCUGUACAGGAGUGGCAAAGGCCUACCAAUGUAUUUGAGGUUAGAAGUUUCUUGGGGUUGGCUGGAUAUUAUAGGAGGUUUGUGGAAGACUUCUCUAGAAUUGCAGCACCAAUGACUCGGUUGACUAGAAAAGGGGUGAAGUUUGAUUGGAAUGAGGAGUGUGAGAAUGCUUUCCAGGAAUUGAAGCGGAAAUUGACCACUGCUCCAGUGUUAACUGCUCCUAUUAGUGGAGAGUUGUUUACCAUUUAUUGUGAUGCUUCCACAGUGGGGUUAGGGUGUGUGCUAAUGCAGCAAGGCAAGGUGGUAGCUUAUGCCUCAAGACAAUUAAAGCAGCAUGAGCGGAAUUAUCCAGCACAUGAUUUGGAGCUUGCAGCAGUGGUGUUUGCCCUAAAGACUUGGAGACACUAUUUGUAUGGAGAGAAGUUUGAGGUGUACUCUGAUCACAAGAGUUUGAAAUACAUUUUCACUCAAAAGGAUUUGAACUCUAGGCAGAGGAGAUGGAUGGAGACAUUGGAAGAUUAUGAUUUUGCCCUUCAUUACCAACCUGGGAAGGCGAAUGUUGUAGCAGAUGCCUUGAGUAGAAAGAGCUAUGGCCAGUUGUCUAGCUUGGGGUUGAGAGAGUUUGAGAUGCAUGCAGUUAUUGAGGACUUUGAGCUAUGUCUUAGUCAGGAAGGACGUGGUCCAUGCUUAUACAGCAUAUCAGCUAGACCAAUGAUUAUCCAAAGAAUAGUGGAGGCCCAAGUUCAUGAUGAGUUUUUAGAAAAGGUUAAAGCCCAGUUGGUAGCAGGUGAAAUAGAUGAAAAUUGGUCUAUGUAUGAAGAUGGGAGUGUGAGGUUCAAAGGGAAAUUGUGUGUGCCAAAAGAUGUGGAGUUGAGAAAUGAACUUCUAGCAGAUGCUCAUAGGGCGAAGUAUACCAUCCACCCUGGGAAUACCAAGAUGUAUCAAGACUUAAAGAGGCAGUUUUGGUGGAGUGGGAUGAAGAGAGAUAUUGCUCAGUUUGUAGCUAAUUGUCAGAUUUGUCAGCAAGUGAAGGCUGAACACCAGAGGCCUGCAGGGUUGUUGCAACCUUUACCUAUACCUGAGUGGAAGUGGGAUAAUAUCACUAUGGACUUUGUGAUAGGGUUGCCAAGAACUAGAAGCAAGAAAAAUGGAGUUUGAGUGAUUGUGGACCGUCUUACUAAGUCAGCUCAUUUUCUAGCCAUGAAAACUACUGAUUCCAUGAACUCUUUGGCUAAGUUGUAUAUACAGGAGAUUGUGAGAUUGCAUGGGAUACCUGUAUCUAUAGUGUCUGACAGGGAUCCUAAGUUUACUUCUCAGUUUUGGCAGAGUUUACAAAGGGCUUUGGGCACCCAACUGAAUUUUAGCACCGCUUUUCAUCCUCAGACAGAUGGUCAAUCAUAGAGAGUGAUCCAUAUCUUAAAAGACAUGUUAAGGGCUUGUGUUUUGGAUUUUGGAGGAAAUUGGGCAGAUUACUUACCUUUAGCAGAGUUUGCUUAUAACAACAGUUACCAAUCUAGUAUUGGCAUGGCACCUUAUGAAGCACUCUAUGGGAGACCUUGUAGAUCGCCCUUGUGUUGGAUAGAGAUGGGUGAGAGUCGUUUAUUGGGACCUGAGAUUGUCCAAGAGACUACAGAGAAGAUACAACUCAUCAAGGAAAAACUUAAGACUGCCCAAGAUAGACAGAAAAGUUAUGCAGACAAAAGGAGAAGGCCCUUGGAGUUUGAGGAAGGGGAUUGGGUGUUUGUAAAAGUGUCCCCUCGAAGAGGCAUAUUUCGAUUUGGGAAUAAGGGGAAGUUAGCCCCUAGGUUUGUGGGACCAUUUCAGAUUGAUAAGAGAGUUGGCCCAGUGGCAUACAAGUUAAUUUUGCCUCAACAGUUGUCCCUUGUGCAUGAUGUUUUCCAUGUGUCGAUGCUAAGGAAGUGUACUCCAGAUCCAACUUGGGUAGUGGACAUGCAAGAUGUUCAGAUUAGUGAAGAUACAUCUUAUGUGGAGGAACCUUUACGAAUUCUGGAAGUUGGAGAGCAUAGGUUCAGGAACAAGGUGAUUCCUGCAGUCAAAGUGUGGUGGCAACACCAUGGGAUAGAAGAAGCCACUUGGGAACCUGAAGAAGAAAUGAGACGACACUAUCCGCAACUCUUCUACGAAUUUUAAGGUAAGCUAGUUUAAAUUUCGGGACGAAAUUUCUUUUAGGAGGGUAGGAUGUAAUGACCGGGCAUUUUAUGCCACGUUAGCAAUUUUAGUUUGAAAAGUCUUAAUUUAUGUGAUGGUUGAAAAGUCAAAAAGAAAAGCGUUUGGAGAACACGUGUCAAUUUCGGAUUGGUGAAUUUCGUUUUAUUGCGUCGGUCAAUUAAACGAGUUGAAAUUUUAUGCCAUGUCAGCCUUAGGAUAGAAAAUUCUUAGGAUUUUAGAAAUUGGAAAUUUACGGGAACGAAAAACGAAAACGAAAAAUGAAAAAUAAAUAAAUUAAGAUUAAUUAGAAUUAAUUAAGAAAAAUUAAUUAAUUAAUUAAAUUAAAUUGAUGAAUAAUAAUAUUGAGAAAAUUAGUUUUUAUUUGGUGUUAAUAAAUAAAAUUGUGUGUUAAAAUGAAAAAAAAAUGAAUGAAAAAUGAAUUGGAAAUUAAAUAAAACAAUUAGAAUAAAGAAAAGAAAUAAUAACAAUAAUAAUGGAUUGGGCUUAGUUUUUGAGUUGGGCUUGGAGCAAGUGGGCUGGUGGUUUUUUUUUUUAAAAAAGCCAUGUGAAGUGGGCUGGGCUGUUAGUAAAAGAAAAAAAAAAAAAAUGAAAAGGGAGAGAACUGGCAGUAGCACGCACGCGGGGAGAGAGAAANNNNNNNNNNNNNNNNNNNNNNNNNNNNNNNNNNNNNNNNNNNNNNNNNNNNNNNNNNNNNNNNNNNNNNNNNNNNNNNNNNNNNNNNNNNNNNNNNNNNNNNNNNNNNNNNNNNNNNNNNNNNNNNNNNNNNNNNNNNNNNNNNNNNNNNNNNNNNNNNNNNNNNNNNNNNNNNNNNNNNNNNNNNNNNNNNNNNNNNNNNNNNNNNNNNNNNNNNNNNNNNNNNNNNNNNNNNNNNNNNNNNNNNNNNNNNNNNNNNNNNNNNNNNNNNNNNNNNNNNNNNNNNNNNNNNNNNNNNNNNNNNNNNNNNNNNNNNNNNNNNNNNNNNNNNNNNNNNNNNNNNNNNNNNNNNNNNNNNNNNNNNNNNNNNNNNNNNNNNNNNNNNNNNNNNNNNNNNNNNNNNNNNNNNNNNNNNNNNNNNNNNNNNNNNNNNNNNNNNNNNNNNNNNNNNNNNNNUUGGGUGUUAGGCACCCUACUGAGCAAUGUGGAAAUGCUCACCCCUUCCUUGUUACACCUUUUUAGAUGCAGAUAUCUCUCCUGAGGAUCCACAGGUGGGACAGGGAGGACUUCAGGAUGCUCCUGGAGCGGCCUAGUGGAGCGUGGCAUUUAUUUGUUAUUGUGUUCCUUUUUGGAUUUUGGGGAUUUGUUUUAGCAAUUAUGACUCAUGGAUUUGCUAUGAAGCUUUAUUUGAUUAAGUUGUUAAUUGUGAACCUUUAUUUUGGACUAUAAUGAAUAUUUAUUUAAUCUUGUUGUUUUGAGUAGUUUUGGGAUAUUGUAAUUUAUGAGAAUUCUAGUGAGAUGUAUAAAAAAAAAAAAAUCCAGAGUGUUUUGGUUGACUGCCAACAUGGAAUAGGAGGAAUCCUUAGGGUCAAACCUUUGACCUGGGGUCACGGGUCAAAUUUUGGGUCGCCCGGAAUUUGGGUCGUGACAGUGUUGGUCAAUUUCUACCCCAAAUGUCCACAACCGGACCUCACUCUCGGACUCAAGCGCCAUACGGAUCCCGGUACCAUCACGCUGCUGCUUCAGGAUCAG
rnacentral:lncRNA from 1 species